rnacentral:lncRNA from 1 species
UGUACAGAUUUCUCUUUCGACCCUUAUGUUCUCUCUUUCUUCUCGUUUCAAUAUUUGGAGCUUUUGUUCUGCGUUGGACGAUGAUGAUUUGCUCAUAUAUACCAUCAAACUCUGAACAAUCAUACGCUAUGUUGAUUGCACAAAGCUUCCGUGAGUCCGAUGCCAUCUGGCUCUAAUCCUGUUUUUGUUUAUUUGUUUUCUUCCAUUUUCUGUUUCUUUGUUUUCUGAAUUAAUUUUUUCCCGAGGCAAUAAAUUAGAGUCUCUGAUGCGCUUCUUCCAAUAGCGUUUUCAGCGCUGUACGUUGCCGAGAGUGAUUGGGCGCAGAUUCUGGCACGGGACGUCUCUCUGUAUGUCUUGUGCAUUCUACUCGCCCUUACAGUUAUUUGAUCCGCAAGAUCCCUCUUCUAUUCUAUCGUUCAAUACAAAUAUUUCAAGAGACUUGUGUUUUUUUGCCCUUCCGAACAGUGUCUUCUGCACUAAAAGAAAUAUUUGUGAUUUUGAUUUGACCCAGAUAGUCUACAUAUUCAAUGAGUAAACGAAAGUGAAUUAACUCGGCAAUAAAUUAGAGUCUCUGUUGCGCUUGUUUCAGUAGCGUCUUCAGCGCUGUACGUUGCCUAGAACAAUUGGGCAAAGAUUCUGGCACUUCCAUCUAUUCUUAUGGCUUGUGCAUUCGACUUCCCGACAGUUUGUGAAUAAAUUAACUAGAUCACCUGGCAAGAUCUUGGCACCCAUCUGUCGAUUUCCAGGAAUCUUGGUUAAUUAUUGUUUACUCAAAAUUUUGUAAGUAGAAUAAACGUCUAAAAUCUUGGCAGUUUGGCACUCAGGUUUUAAUAAAUUAUCUUUAGUUUUGGGAGUAAAUUUCUUCGUUUCAGGGACAAACUAAAUUCAAUUUUGGGAAUCAUUAAGAGUACUGUAUACAAAUGGAUGUUAGUUUAGUGAAUUCAAUCGGGCAAAGAUUCUGGUUUAGCACGACUUGAGAGCUUGUAUACACAGGCCUUGUCAGCUCUUUUGUAUACAAAUAGAACGCUUGAAAGUUGUACACAGCAAGCUCGUAUCGGUCAAACAUGGCAAAAAAAAAUUAAACGUAUUAUUGAUUGGGACCGAAGGAUAUUUGAAAUGGAAACAUAGCAAGAUUUGAGCGAGGACUGUCUCCAGUAUCCGUCUUUUACAGAAUUCUCUAAAAGAUUCUAUCUCAUAUAUCUACUUUCUCUCCAACAACGUCCUCUAAAUCACGUCCUCUAUAUGUAAAUACCUAUAUUAAAGACAUUUUUAAUUUUUAAAUUUUUGUACAUUUGUAUUUGUCAUAAUCUCAAAUGUAUUGUACAUAUUUUAGUUUUAUUAAACCGGUUGUUUAAAGUAUUCAAAUAGUACACAGCAAGAGGAUGUCCUUUUAUCUAAAUUUAGGGUAUAGCACCCUUUAUAGGGUUUUAUUGGAGCCAGCCUUAGCACAAUUGAACUGUUGACCACAAAGUGGCACACUGCUGUUGGUUGUGGCUUGCUUUGUCUCGAUCGCAGUUCGAACAGCUAUUCAGCCAGCCGAUCAAUUUGAGCAUGAACCGAAAGAAUGGAGGCGGGAGGAUAUUUUUAAAAAAAUAUUAGAGAGGUGUGAUAUUAUCCGUGCAUCUUUAGAGGUUAAGUAUUCGAUUGGAUAUUUUAUUUGGAUAUCCACAUCAUAUUCGGAUAUUAUAGUUCUUAUAUCGUAUUGGAAUAUGGAUGACUUAUCCAAAAGAAUAUGGGAUAGCUUAUAUCCGUCAGAUUUUACGAUAUAUCGCCUUGUUCGGAGAGUUUCUUUAAAAACGAUGUUUUUAAAAAGGUCUUUGCACCUUAAUACAUGUGUCUUGGUUGUCUGGUUAUGCCAAUUGUCUUUGUUGUACCAGAUACAUUCAGAAAACAGUGGUUGAGUAAAGAUAAAGCAUAAGGAAACAGUCAUGCAUGAUGACAUGGUUUACCUAGAGAACUAGCACAACAAAUAAUGAAUAAGUAUACCUAAUUUUUUUUACUAUCAGCUUAUGGCGCAUUCAACUGUUCAGACAGUACUUAAGUUUUGGUGAUCUUAUCUUCGAACAAAUUUUGACUGCGAAAUGUUUUGACUAUCAGCUUAUAACACUCAACUGUUAAGUUAGUACUCCCUCCGUUUCUUUUUAUUUGUCGCUGGAUAGUACAAAAUUCGAGCGACAAAUAAAAAGAAACGGAGGGAGUAUUCAAUUCUUGGUGAUCUUAUUAUAUGGCGCGAUCGGUCUGAUCAAACAAAUCUCUAGUGCAAAAUGUAGCCGAUGAAAAUACCGUAGUACCUAUCCCAAAAAAUAAUUUGUUUUUGACUAAGUAUUUUAUAAAUGUAGUUUAUAUGUAUGUAUUUAUUAUGAUUCAUUAUGAUGUUGAUAAAUAAAUGUGCUAGGCAUAGUAAACAUUUAUAUAUCAUGACAUUGCUUUGUCUAGAGAACAGCUGGCUGAACAGACAUGAUUGUUAGUUAGACUAAGGCUAUCUCUGCCUGUCUAUCCCACUACCUAUAUUACACUCUAUUUCAAACAACACUAUAUAAAAAGUACAGUGUAAAGUGCUUUACACGCUCUCGCUUACAUAUUUUUGCAUAUAUUUCGUGACAGUUGCCUUUAAUGACAUCACUUCACUUCAAAUUAAUUAACGUGAUCAAUCUGGUUGUGUAAUUUGGGUAAUAUAAAAUUUGGGGUUUUGAGAAACGGCACUUGAAAUUGUAGCUAGUUUUACGUUACCCAAAAUUUUGGGUUCGAGUUUAGAUAAUCCUUGUAUCCUACCAAACCACCAAAUCAGUAUAAAAACAUAAGGAAGACAAUGAUAUAUAUGUAUAUAAAACACAAAUGCAAUCUAUAAUUACACGUUUAUAACUUAAUUUCACCAUGCACACUUAUCAAUAAUUUAUAGAUACACAAAUCGAGAAUAGACAAUGACAUGAGUCUUGGAGAGUUUGGGUAAUUUGGAUAUUCGGGGAACCGGAGGGUGCUAACUGAAUUACAUAAAAUAAGUCCAGGUUUUAUAAAUUGCUACUCCAAAUUCUCGAAUAAAAUUUAGAUUUCGAGUAUUUUAGGUUUAGGGUUUAGUUUGAAGGAAACAUGUGACGCCAACAAGGGAGGGGUGAAUUAGGACUUCUAAAACUUUCACUAAACUAGGCCACAGAUAAAUCCCUAGAGCAAAACCUAUGCCAAUAAUCAAACAAAAAUGUGCAAACUAGAUUUUGUCUAAGUGUUACUAUCUCUCCCGCAAGGGCUAAGUUUCAAUCUACACUAUAUAAGUAUAAAGACAAGAUUGAAACUUAAAUGCUUAAUAUAAAUGCGGAAGUUUAAAGAGCAAGGUAGAGAUGCAAACUCUCGUGGAUGGCGUCGGUAUUUUUACCGAGGUAUCCGGAACCACGCAAGGUCCCGACUAAUCCUUAUUGGUGCCCCUACACAAAGGAAAGCCCACGCGAGGGCCAAACACCUCGGUCGAGUAACUAUGUAGAGAGUCGCGGGCCUUCUCCACGCGCAAGUGGUGCUCCGCUUUCGACUCCUCUCGGAUGCUCCCCGCCGUCUCCACUAUCGAGCUUCCGACCGAAAACGCCGCGGGCCUCGUUCCCUCUGGUACAUGGUGGCGGCCGUGACACAAACGUGGUUGUCACGGUCUCGCAAGACUCUUGCCCCACUCGGUACAAUUACAACGGCUCGAGCAAGAGCCGAGGGGUUGUGUGGUUUAUCUAAACUCACUCAACUAACUAGGAUUCACCUAGAGCAAGCGCUAGAGCGGUGUAACUAACCAAAGCACUUCGCAAAGCACCUAUGCUAAUCACAGAGUGAUUCUAUUAAACACUUGGGUGUAUGAGCUCUUGGAAAUGUGAACUAUAUGCCUUGGUAUGUCUCUUGGGCUCCCACACCUCCAAAUGGCCGGUUGGGUGAAGUAUAUAUACGCCCCAACUCAAAUAUAGCCAUUGGAAAGCAGUUCUUCAGCUUUCUGUGGCGCACCGGACCGUCCGGUGGUGCACCAGACAUGCCACGUGUACUAGCCGUUAAAGGUAGCCGCUGGAGCUUUCGAAGAUGGCUCACCGGACAUGGCACACUGGACGACCCGGUGUGCACCGGACAACCCAUGCUUGCUUGUCGUAUUUUGGCCAUAACUUUUAGCUCCAAACUCCGAUUUCGAUGAUCUUGUACCUGAAAGUCGCCUAGAGGGGGGGUGAAUAGACGUAAUCUGAAAUUUACAACUUUAAACACACACUACAAGCCGGGGUUAGCGUUAGAAUUUAAUUCAAGUCGAAAAGAGAGGGAAAACAAAUUGUCUGGGACCAUAAUUAGGGGUACCCCCAAGACUCUUAAUCUCAGCUGGUAACCCCCAUCAGCACAAAGCUGCAAAGGCCUAAUGGGCGCGAUUAAGGUCAAGGCUCAGUCCACUCAAGGGACACGAUCUCGCCUCGCCCGAGCCCAGCCUCGGGCAAAGGCAGCCGACCCCGGAGGAUUCACGUCUCGCCCGAGGGCCCCCUCAAGCAACGGACACACCUUCGGCUCGCCCGAGGCCCAGUCUUCGCAGAGAAGCAACCUUGGCCAGAUCGCCACGCCAACCGACCGUAUCGCAGGAGCAUUUAAUGCAAGGAUCGCCUGACACCUUAUCCUGACGCGCGCCCUUCAGUCGACAGAGCCGAAGUGACCGCAAUCACUUCGCCGCUCCAUUGACCGACCUGACAAGAAAACAGCGCCGCCUGCGUUGCUCCGACUGCUGUGCCACUCGACAGAGUGAGGCUGACAGCAGUUAAGUCCAGCCUCGGGCGCCAUAGGAAGCUCUGCCUCGCCCGACCCCAGGGCUCGGGCUCAACCUCGACGCUGGACGAUGGACUCCGCCUCGCCCGACCCCAGGGCUCGGACACAGCCUCGGCCUCGGAAGACGGUCUCCGCCUCGCCCGACCUAGGGCUCGGGCUCAACCUCGACGCUGGACGACGGACUCCGCCUCGCCUGACCCCAGGGCUCGGACACAGCCUCGGCCUCGGAAGACGGUCUCCGCCUCGCCCGACCCAGGGCUCGGACUCAACCUCGACCUCAGAAGACGGACUUCGCCUCGCCAGACCCUAGGGCUCGGACUCAGCCUCGACCACGGAAGACAGACUCGACCUCGACCUCUGAAAGGGAAUUAGGCUUACACCUAUUUCCUAAUUGUUUUUGGUGGUUGAAUUGCCCAACACAAAUAAAUUGGACUAACUAGUUUGCUCUAGUGUAUAAGUUAUACAGGUGCCAAAGGUUCACACUUAGCCAAUAAAAAGAUCAAGUAUUGGGUUCAACAAAAGAGCAAAGGGUCAACCGAAGGCACCUCUGGUCUGGCGCACCGGACUGUCCGGUGCACCAGAGGACUCCAACUCAAACUCGUCACCUUCGGAAAAAUCCAGAGGCGCUCCGCUAUAAUUCACGGGACUGUCCGGUGUACACCGGACAUUGUCCGGUGCUCCAAGGAACAGCGCUUCAGGAACUCGCCAGCUUCGGGAAUUCGCAACGGCUAGUCCACUAUAAUUCACCGGACAUGUCCGGUGUGCACCAGACUGUCCGGUGUGACAACAGAGCAACGGAUAUUUCGGCGCCAACGACUACCUGCAGCGCAUUGAAUGCGCGCCAGCGGGCGCAGAAGUCAGGCACGCCCAUACUGGCGCACCGGACACUCUACAGUACAUGUCUGGUGUGCCACCGGACAUCCAGGCGGGCCCAGAAGACAGAGCUCCAACGGUCGGAACCCAACGGCUUUGGUGACGUGGCUGGCGCACCGGACAUGUCCGGUGUGCACCAGACUGUCCGGUGCACCAUACGACAGUCAGCCCCACCAAACGGCUAGUUUGGUGGUUGGGGCUAUAAAUACCCCCAACCACCCACCAUUCAUUGCAUCCAAGUUUUCAUACUUCCAACCACUUACAAGAGCUAGGCAUUCAAUUCUAGACACACUCAAGAGAUCAAAUCCUCUCCCAAAUUCCACACAAAGCUUUAGUGACUAGUGAGAGAGAUUUGCUUGUGUUCUUUCGAGCUCUUGCGCUUGGAUUGCUUUCUUCUUUCUUGAUUCCUUAUUGCGAUCAAACUCACUUGUAAUUGAGGCAAGAGACACCAAUCUUGUGGUGGUCCUUGUAGGAACUUUGUGUUCCAAGUGAUUGAGAAGAGAAAGCUCACUCGGUCCAAGGGACCGUUUGAGAGAGGCAAAGGGUUGAAAGAGACCCGGUCUUUGUGACCACCUCAACGGGGAGUAGGUUUGCGAGAACCGAACCUCGGUAAAACAAAUCCUUGUGUCUCACUGCUUUACUCGCUUGCGAUUUGUUUUUACGCCCUCUCGCGGACUCGUUUAUAUUUCUAACGCUAACCCGGCUUGUAGUUGUGAUUAUUUUUGAGAAUUUCAGUUUCGCCCUAUUCACCCCCCUCUAGGCGACUAUCAAUUGGUAUCAGAGGCCGGUGCUUCAUUAGAGCCUAACCGCUCGAAGUGAUGUCGGGAGAACUCGCCAAGAGGGAGAUGGAGACCGGCGACAAGCCUGCUACAAGCCACGGGAAGGCUUCAUCGGAAGAGUCCCGCAACAAGGAGAAGAUGAAGGAGAAAAAGAAAGAAAAGAAGACUUCUUCCCACAAGUUGCAUCGGAGUGGCGACAAAAUAAAGAAGAUGAGGAAGGUGGUCUACUACGAGACCGACACUUCAUCACCUUCUACCUCCGGCUCCGACGUGCCCUCCAUAACUUCGAAGCGCCAUGAGCGUAAGAAGUUUAGUAAGAUCCCCUUACAUUAUCCUCGUACUUCUAGACAUACUCCAUUACUUUCCGUUCCAUUAGGCAAACCGCCAACCUUUGACGGUGAAGAUUAUGCUAGGUGGAGUGAUUUAAUGAAAUUUCAUCUAACCUCACUCCACAAAAGUAUAUGGAAUGUUGUUGAGUUUGGAGCACAGGUACCAUCCGUAGGGGAUGAGGAUUAUGAUGAGGACGAGGUGGCCCAAAUUCACCACUUUAACUCCCAAGCCACUACUAUACUCCUCGCCUCUCUAAGUCGAGAGGAGUAUAAUAAGGUGCAAGGGUUAAAGAGUGCGAAGGAAAUUUGGGACAUACCCAAGACCGCGCACGAAGGAGACGAGGUGACAAAGAUCACCAAGCGGGAAACGAUCGAGGGGGAGCUCGGUCGCUUCAUGCUUCACCAAGGGGAGGAUCCACAAGCUAUGUACAACCGCUUGAAGACCUUGGUGAACCAAGUGUGCAACCUCGGGAGAGAAAAAUGGGAUGACCAUGAGAUGGUCAAGGUUAUUCUUAGAUCCCUCGUAUUUCUUAACCCUACACAAGUUGAAAGUCGCCUAGAGGGGGGGUGAAUAGGGCGAAACUGAAAUUUCCAAAAAUAAUCACAACUACAAGCUGGGUUAGCGUUAGAAAUAUAAUAGAGUCCACGAGAGAGGGCGUAAAACAAAUCGCAAGCGAAUAAUGAAGUGAGACACGCGGAUUUGUUUUACCGAGGUUCGGUUCUCUCAAACCUACUCCCCGUUGAGGAGGCCACAAAGGCCGGGUCUCUUUCAACCCUUACCCUCUCUCAAACGGUCCCUCGGACCGAGUGAGCUUUCUCUUCUCAAUCACUUGGAACACAAAGUUCCCACAAGGACCACCACAAGAUUGGUGUCUCUUGCCUCAAUUACAAGUGAGUUUUGAUCGCAAGAAAGAAUCAAGAAAGAAGAAAGCAAUCCAAGCGCGAGAGCUCGAAAGAACACAAUCAAAUCUCUCUCUCUACUCACUAGGGCGUUGUGUGGAAUUUGGAGAGGAUUUGAUCUCUUUGGUGUGUCUAGAAUUGAAUGCUAGAGCUCUUGUAAGUAGUUGGGAAGUGGAAAACUUGGAUACAAUGAAUGGUGGGGUGGUUGGGGUAUUUAUAGCCCCAACCACCAAACUUGACCGUUGGUGGAGGCUGUCUGUUCGAUGGCGCACCGGACAGUCCGGUGCACACCGGACAUGUCCGGUGCCCCAGCCACGUCACAAGUGCCGUUGGAAUCUGACCGUUGGAGUUCUGACUUCUGGGCCCGCCUCGAUGUCCGGUGGCGCACCGGACAUGAACUGUUCAGUGUCCGGUGCGCCGGUAUGGGCGCGCCUGCCUUCUUCGCGCGCUGCGCGCGCAUUUAAUGCGUUGCAGGUAGCCGUUGGCGCGAAGUAGCCGUUGCUCCGAGGAUGCACCGGACAGUCCGGUGCACACCGGACAUGUCCGGUGAAUUAUAGCGGAGCAGCCUUCGUGAAAUCCCGAGGCUGGCGAGUUCCGGAGCAGCGUCUUCGUUGGAGCACCGGACACUGUCCGGUGUACACCGGACAGUCCGGUGAAUUAUAGCGCGCCGGUUCUGGAUUUUCCCGAAGGUGACGAGUUGGAGUUGGAGUCCUCUGGUGCACCGGACACUGUCCGGUGGCACACCGGACAGUCCGGUGCGCCAGACCAGAGGAGCCUUCGGUUGCUCCUUUGCUCUUUUGUUGAACUCAAUACUUGGUCUUUUUAUUGGCUAAGUGUGAACCUUUUGCACCUGUAUAACUUAUACACUAGAAUAAACUAGUUAGUCCAAAGAUUUGUGUUGGGCAAUUCAACCACCAAAAUUAUAUAGGAACUAGGUGUAAGCCUAAUUCCCUUUCAAUCUCCCCCUUUUUGGUGUUUGAUGUCAACACAAACCAAAGCAAAUAUAGAAGUGCAUAAUUGAACUAGUUUGCAUAAUAUAAGUGCAAAGGUUGCUUGGAAUUGAGCCAAUAUAAAUACUUACAAGAUAUGCAUGGAUUGUUUAUUUAUUUGUAACAUUUUGGACCACGCUUGCACCACAUGUUUUGUUUUUGCAAAAUCUUUUGUAAUUUUUUUUCAAAGUUCUUUUGCAAAUAGUCAAAGGUAAAUGAAUAAGAGUUUGCAAAGCAUUUUCAAGUUUUGAAUUUUUCUCCCCCUGUUUCAAAUGCUUUUCCUUUGACCAAACAAAACUCCCCCUAAAUGAAAUCCUCCUCUUAGUGUUCAAGAGGGUUUUGAUGAAUCAAUUUUGAAAUACUACUUUCUCCCCUUUUUGAACAUAUUAAGAUACCAAAUUGACAAUUGAAAAUUAUAUUUUAAAAUUAGGUGAUGGUGCGGUCCUUUUGCUUUGGGCUAAUACUUUCUCCCCCUUUGGCAUGAAUCGCCAAAAACGGAGUCAUUAGAGCCCUCCGAAGUACUUUCUUCUCCUUUGGUCAUAAAAUAAAUGAGUGAAGAUUAUACCAAAGUUGGAGAGAAGCUCGGAGUGACGGCGAAGGAUGAGUAGUAGAGUGGAGUGGAAGCCUUUGUCUUCGCCGAAGACUCCAAUUCCCUUUCAAUAUACCUAUGACUUGGUUUGACAUACCCUUGAAAACACAUUAGUCAUAGCAUAUAUCAAAGAGACAUGAUCAAAGGUAUACUUAUGAGCUAUGUGUGCAAGUUUAGCAAAAGAAGUUCCUGGAAUCAAGAAUAUUGAGCUCAUGCCUAAGUUUGGUAAAAGAUUGUUCAUCAAGUGGCUUGGUAAAGAUAUCGGCUAAUUGAUCUUUAGUGUUAAUGUAUGAAAUUUCGAUAUCCCCCUUUUGUUGGUGAUCCCUAAGAAAAUGAUACCGAAUGGCUAUGUGUUUAGUGCGGCUAUGCUCAACGGGAUUAUCCGCCAUGCAGAUUGCACUCUCAUUAUCACAUAGAAGAGGAACUUUGGUUAAUUUGUAACCAUAGUCCCGCAGGGUUUGCCUCAUCCAAAGCAAUUGCGCGCAACAAUGGCCUGCGGCAAUAUACUCGGCUUCGGCAGUAGAAAGAGCGACCGAAUUUUGCUUCUUUGAAGCCCAAGACACCAAGGAUCUUCCCAAGAACUGGCAAGUCCCCGAUGUGCUCUUUCUAUUAAUCUUACACCCCGCCCAAUCGGCAUCCGAAUAACCAAUCAAAUUAAAUGUGGAUCCCCGAGGGUACCAAAGCCCAAACUUAGGUGUAUAGGCCAAAUAUGUCAAGAUUCGUUUUACGGCCGUAAGGUGUGAUUCCUUAGGGUCGGCUUGGAAUCUUGCACACAUGCAUACGGAAAUCAUAAUGUCCGGUCGAGAUGCACAUAAAUAAAGCAAUGAACCAAUCAUCGACCGGUAUACCUUUUGAUCGACGGAUUUACCUCCCGUGUCGAGGUCGAGAUGCCCAUUGGUUCCCAUGGGUGUCUUGAUGGGCUUGGCAUCCUUCAUUCCAAACUUGGUUAGAAUGUCUUGAGUGUACUUCGUUUGACAAAUGAAGGUGCCCUCUUGGAGUUGCUUGACUUGAAAUCCUAGAAAAUACUUCAACUCCCCCAUCAUCGACAUCUCGAUUUUUUGUGUCAUGAUCCUACUAAAUUCUUCACAUGUAGAUUCGUUAGUAGACCCAAAUAUGAUAUCAUCAACAUAAAUUUGGCAUAUAAACAAAUCAUUGUCAAGAGUCUUAGUGAAUAAAGUAGGAUCGGCUUUGCCGACUUUGAAGCCAUUAGCAAUAAGGAAAUCUCUAAGGCAUUCAUACCAUGCUCUUGGGGCUUGCUUGAGCCCAUAAAGCGCCUUAGAGAGCCUAUAGACAUGGUUAGGGUACUCACUAUCUUCAAAGCCGGGAGGUUGCUCAACAUAGACCUCCUCCUUGAUUGGUCCAUUGAGGAAGGCACUCUUCACGUCCAUUGGGUAGAGCUUGAAGCCAUGGUAAGUAGCAUAGGCCAAUAAUAUACGAAUUGACUCAAGCCUAGCUACGGGUGCAUAAGUUUCACCGAAAUCCAAACCUUCGACUUGGGAGUAUCCCUUGGCCACAAGUCGAGCUUUGUUCCUUGUCACCACACCAUGCUCAUCUUGCUUGUUGCGGAAGACCCACUUGGUUCCUACAACAUUUUGGUUAGGACGUGGAACUAAAUGCCAUACCUCGUUCCUCGUGAAAUUGUUGAGCUCCUCUUGCAUCGCCAUCACCCAAUCCGAAUCUUGCAGUGCUUCCUCUACCCUGUGUGGCUCAAUAGAGGAAACAAAAGAGUAAUGCUCACAAAAAUGUGCAACCCGAGAUCGAGUAGUUACCCCCUUAUGAAUGUCGCCGAGGAUGGUAUCGACGGGGUGAUCUCGUUGGAUUGCUUGGUGGACUCUUGGGUGUGGCGGCCUUGGUUGUUCAUCCUCCUUGUCUUGAUCAUUUGCAUCUCCCCCUUGAUCGUUGCCGUCAUCUUGAGGGGGCUCAUCUCUUUGGUCUUCUCCUUCAUCAACUUGAGCCUCGUCCUCAUUUUGGGUUGGUGGAGAUGCUUGCAUGGAGGAGGAUGGUUGAUCUUGUGCAUGUGGAGGCUCUUCGGGUUCCUUAGGACACACAUCCCCAAUGGACAUGUUCUUUAGCGCGAUGCACGGAGCCUGUUCUUCACCUAUCUCAUCAAGAUCAUCUUGCUCUACUUGAGAGCCAUUAGUUUCAUCAAACACAACGUCACAAGAAACUUCAACUAGUCCUGAGGACUUGUUAAAGACUCUAUAUGCCCUUGUGUUUGAGUCAUAUCCUAGUAAAAAGCCUUCUACAGUUUUAGGAGCAAAUUUAGAUUUUCUACCUCUCUUAACAAGAAUAAAGCAUUUGCUACCAAAAACUCUAAAAUAUGAAAUACUGGGCUUUUUACCAGUGAGGAGUUCAUAGGAUGUCUUCUUGAGGAUUCAGUGAAGAUAUAACCGGUUGAUGGCGUAGCAGGCGGUGUUCACCGCCUCGGCCCAAAACCGAUCCGGUGUCUUGUACUCAUCAAGCAUGGUUCUUGCCAUGUCCAAUAGAGUUCGAUUCUUCCUCUCCACUACACCAUUUUGUUGUGGAGUGUAAGGAGAAGAAAACUCAUGCUUGAUGCCCUCUUCCUCAAGAAAGUCUUCUAUUUGUGAGUUCUUGAACUCCGUCCCAUUGUCGCUUCGAAUUUUCUUGAUCCUUAAGUCGAACUCAUUUUGAGCCCGUCUCAAGAAUCCCUUUAAGGUCUCUUGGGUAUGGGAUUUUUCCUGCAAAAAGAACACCCAAGUGAAGCGAGAAUAAUCAUCCACAAUAACUAGACAGUACUUACUCCCGCCGAUGCUUAUGUAAGCUAUCGGGCCGAAUAGGUCCAUGUGUAGGAGCUCCAGUGGCCUGUCACUAGUCAUGAUGUUCUUGUGUGGAUGAUGAGUGCCAACUUGCUUCCCGGCUUGGCAUGCGCUACAAAUCCUGUCUUUCUCAAAAUAAACAUUGGUUAGUCCUAAAAUGUGUUCUCCCUUUAGAAGCUUAUGAAGAUUCUUCAUUCCAACAUGGGCUAGUCGGCGGUGCCAGAGCCAACCCAAGUUAGUCUUAGCAACCAAGCAAGUGUCGAGUUCAGCUCUAUCAAAAUCUACCAAGUAUAGCUGACCCUCUAACACUCCCUUAAAUGCUAUUGAAUCAUCACUUCUUCUAAAGACAGUAACACCUACAUCAGUAAAUAGACAGUUGUAGCCUAUUUGACAUAAUUGGGAUACGGAAAGCAAAUUGUAAUCUAAAGAAUCUACAAGAAAAAUAUUGGAAAUAGUAUGGUCAGGUGAUAUAGCAAUUUUACCCAAUCCUUUGACCAACCCUUGGUUUCCAUCCCCAAAUGUGAUAGCUCGUUGGGGAUCUUGGUUUUUCUCAUAAGAGGAGAACAUCUUUUUCUCCCCUGUCAUGUGGUUUGUGCACCCGCUGUCGAGUAUCCAACUUGAGCCCCCGGAUGCAUAAACCUACAAAACAAUUUUAGUUCUUGACUUUAGGUACCCAAACGGUUUUGGGUCCUUUGACAUUAGAAACAAGAACUUUGGGUAUCCAAACACAAGUCUUGGAGCCCUUGUGUUUGCCCCCAACAAACUUGGCAACUAUUUUGCCGGAUUUGUUAGUCAAAACAUAAGAUGCAUCAAAAGUCUUAAAUGAAAUGCUAUGAUCAUUUGAUGCAAUAGGAGUUUUCUUUCUAGGCAACUUGGCAUGGGUUGGUUGCCUAGAGCUAGAUGUCUCACCCUUAUACAUAAAAGCAUGGUUAGGGCCAGAGUGAGACUUCCUAGAAUGAGUUCUCCUAAUUUUGCUCUCGGGAUAACCGGCAGGGUACAAAAUGUAACCCUCGUUAUCCUGAGGCAUGGGAGCCUUGCCUUUAACAAAGUUAGACAAAUUUUUAGGAGGGGCAUUAAGUUUGACAUUGUCUCCCCUUUGGAAGCCAAUGCCAUCCUUGAUGCCAGGGCGUCUCCCAUUAUAGAGCAUACUUCUAGCAAAUUUAAAUUUUUCAUUUUCUAAGUUAUGCUCGGCAAUUUUAGCAUCUAAUUUUGCUAUAUGAUCAUUUUGUUGCUUAAUUAAUACCAUGUGAUCAUGAAUAGCAUUGAUAUCAACAUCCCUACAUCUAUCACAGAUAGACACAUGCUCAAUAGUAGAUGUAGAGGGUUUGCAAGAUUUAAAUUCUACAACCUUAGCAUGUAAUAUAUCAUUUUCACUUCUAAGGUUAGAAAUAGUAGCAUUGCAAACAUCAAAAUCUUUAGUCUUAGCAAUUAAUUUUUCAUUUUCAAUUCUAAGACUAGCAAGAGAAUCAUUCAAUUCCUUAAUCUUAGCAAGCAAAUCAUUAUUAUCAUUUCUAAGGUUGGGAAUUGAAACAGCACAAACAUGAGAAUCAACCUUAGUAAUUAAUUUGGCAUUUUCAUUUCUAAGGUUGGCAAUAGUGUCAUGACAUGUGCUUAGCUCACUAGAUAAUUUGUCACAUUUUUCUACCUCUAGAGCAUAAGCAUUCUUAACCUUAACAUGUUUUUUAUUUUCCUUGAUUAGGAAGUCCUCUUGGGAGUCCAAGAGAUCAUCCUUUUCAUGGAUGGCACUAAUUAGCUCAUUCAAUUUUUCCUUUUGUUCCAUGUUAAGGUUGGCAAAAAGGGUAUGCAAAUUAUUUUCCUCAUCACUAGCAUUAUCAUCACUAGAGGACUCAUAUUUAGUGGAGGAUUUAGAUUUAACCUUCUUCCUUUUGUCGUCCUUUGCCAUGAGACAUUUGUGGCCGACGUUGGGGAAGAGGAGUCCCUUGGUGACGGCGAUGUUGGCGGCGUCCUCGUCGUCGGAGGAGGAGUCGGUGGAGCUCUCAUCCGAGUCCCACUCCCGGCAAACAUGGGCAUCGCCGCCCUUCUUCUUGUAGUACCUCUUCUUUUCUCUCCUCUUUCCCUUCUUGUCGUUGCCCCUGUCACUGUCACUAGAUAUAGGACAUUUUGCAAUGAAAUGACCGGGCUUACCACACUUGUAGCAAACCUUCUUGGAACGGGAUUUGUAAUCCUUCCCCUUCCGUUGCUUGAAGAUUUGGCGAAAGCUUUUGAUGAUUAAAGCCAUCUCCUCAUUGUCGAGCUUGGUGGCGUCAAUUGGUUGUCUACUCGGUGUAGACUCCUCCUUCUUCUCCUCCGUCGCCUUAAAAGCCACCGGUUGUGCUUCAGACGUGGAGGGUUCGUCAAGCUCGUUGAUCUUCUUUGAUCCUUUAAUCAUGCAUUCAAAGCUCACAAAAUUCCCGAUUACUUCCUCGGGAGUCAUUAGUGUGUAUCUAGGAUUACCACGAAUUAAUUGGACUUGAGUAGGGUUAAGGAAAAUAAGUGAUCUCAAAAUAACCUUAACCACUUCGUGAUCAUCCCAUUUCUUGCUCCCGAGGUUGCACACUUGGUUUACCAAGGUUUUGAGCCGGUUGUACAUAUCUUGUGGCUCCUCCCCUUGGCGAAGACGAAAGCGACCGAGCUCCCCCUCGAUCGUUUCCCGCUUGGUAAUCUUGGUGAGUUCAUCACCCUCGUGCGCGGUCUUGAGAAGGUCCCAAAUUUCCUUUGCAUUCUUCAACCCUUGCACCUUGUUGUAUUCCUCCUUGCUUAGAGAUGCGAGGAGUAUGGUUGUAGCUUGGGAGUUGAAGUGAUCGAUUUGGGCCACUUCGUCCGUAUCAUAAUCCUCAUCCCCUAUAGAUGGUACCUGUGCUCCAAACUCAACAACAUUCCAUAUAUUUUUGUGGAGUGAGGUUAGAUGAAAUUUCAUUAAAUCACUCCACCUAGCAUAAUCUUCGCCAUCAAAAGUUGGCGGUUUGCCUAAUGGAACGGAAAGUAAUGGAGUAUGUCUAGGUGUACGAGGAUAGUGUAAGGGGAUCUUACUAAACUUCUUGCGCUCUUGGCGCUUAGAAGUUACGAACGACACAUCGGAGUCGGAGGUCGAUGUUGAUGAAGUGUCGGUCUCGUAGUAGACCACCUUCCUCAUCCUCUUGUGCUUGUCACCUUUCCGAUGCGACUUGUGCGAAGAAGAUUUUUCCUUCUUCUCUUUGUGGUGUGAGGAAGAAGAUCUUUUCUCCUUCCGUUUGGAGGAGUCCUUCUUCUUUUCCUUCCUCUUGGUGCGGGACUCUUCCGAUGAAGUGCUCCCUUGGCUCGUAGUGGGCUUGUCGCCGAUCUCCAUCUCCCUCUUGGUGUGAUCUCCCGACAUCACUUCGAGCGGUUAGGCUCUAAUGAAGCACCGGGCUUUGAUACCAAUUGAAAGUCGCCUAGAGGGGGGGGGGGGUGAAGGGCGAAACUGAAAUUUCCAAAAAUAAUCACAACUACAAGCUGGGUUAGCGUUAGAAAUAUAAUAGAGUCCACGAGAGAGGGCGUAAAACAAAUCGCAAGCGAAUAAUGAAGUGAGACACGCGGAUUUGUUUUACCGAGGUUCGGUUCUCUCAAACCUACUCCCCGUUGAGGAGGCCACAAAGGCCGGGUCUCUUUCAACCCUUACCCUCUCUCAAACGGUCCCUCGGACCGAGUGAGCUUUCUCUUCUCAAUCACUUGGAACACAAAGUUCCCACAAGGACCACCACAAGAUUGGUGUCUCUUGCCUCAAUUAUAAGUGAGUUUUGAUCGCAAGAAAGAAUCAAGAAAGAAGAAAGCAAUCCAAGCGCGAGAGCUCGAAAGAACACAAGCAAAUCUCUCUCUCUAAUCACUAGGGCGUUGUGUGGAAUUUGGAGAGGAUUUGAUCUCUUUGGUGUGUCUAGAAUUGAAUGCUAGAGCUCUUGUAAGUAGUUGGGAAGUGGAAAACUUGGAUACAAUGAAUGGUGGGGUAGUUGGGGUAUUUAUAGCCCCAACCACCAAACUUGACCGUUGGUGGAGGCUGUCUGUUCGAUGGCGCACCGGACAGUCCGGUGCACACCGGACAUGUCCGGUGCCCCAGCCACGUCACAAGUGCCGUUGGAAUCUGACCGUUGGAGUUCUGACUUCUGGGCCCGCCUCGAUGUCCGGUGGCGCACCGGACAUGAACUGUUCAGUGUCCGGUGCGCCGGUAUGGGCGCGCCUGCCUUCUUCGCGCGUUGCGCGCGCAUUUAAUGCGUUGCAGGUAGCCGUUGGCGCGAAGUAGCCGUUGCUCCGAGGAUGCACCGGACAGUCCGGUGCACACCGGACAUGUCCGGUGAAUUAUAGCAGAGCAGCCUUCGUGAAAUCCCGAGGCUGGCGAGUUCCGGAGCAGCGUCUUCGUUGGAGCACCGGACACAGUCCGGUGUACACCGGACAGUCCGGUGAAUUAUAGCGCGCCGGUUCUGGAUUUUCCCGAAGGUGACGAGUUGGAGUUGGAGUCCUCUGGUGCACCGGACACUGUCCGGUGCGCCAGACCAGAGGAGCCUUCGGUUGCUCCUUUGCUCUUUUGUUGAACUCAAUACUUGGUCUUUUUAUUGGCUAAGUGUGAACCUUUUGCACCUGUAUAACUUAUACACUAGAAUAAACUAGUUAGUCCAAAGAUUUGUGUUGGGCAAUUCAACCACCAAAAUUAUAUAGGAAUUAGGUGUAAGCCUAAUUCCCUUUCACAAGUUCAAUUAAUUCGAGGUGAUCCUAGAUAUAAGCUAAUGUCUCCCGAGGAAGUCAUAGGAAAAUUUGUGAGCUUUGAGCUAAUGAUUAAAGGCUCAAAGAAAAUCUUCGAGCAAGGCACCUCCUCCACACCCGAAGCACAACCGGUCACAUUCAAGGCAACAGAGGAGAAGAAGGAGGAGUCUACAUCAAGUAGACAACCAAUCGACACCUCCAAGCUCGACAAUGAGGGAAUGGUGCUCGUCAUCAAGAGCUUCCGCCAAAUCCUCAAACAAAGGAGGGGGAAGGACUACAAACCUCGCUCCAAGAAAGUGUGUUACAAAUGUGGUAAGCCCGGUCAUUUUAUUGCGAAAUGUCCUAUAUCUAGUGACAGUGACAGGGGCGACGACAAGAAGGGGAGAAGAAAGGAGAAGAAGAAAUACUACAAGAAGAGGGGCGGCGAUGCCCAUGUUUGUCGGGAGUGGGACUCCGACGAAAGCUCUAGCGACUCCUCCUCCGACGAGGACGCCGCCAACAUCGCCGUCACCAAGGGACUUCUCUUCCCCAACGUCGGCCACAAGUGUCUCAUGGCAAAGGACGGCAAAAGGAAGAAGGUUAAAUCAAAAUCCUCCACUAAAUAUGAAUCUUCUAGUGAUGAUAAUGCUAGUGAUGAGGAAGAUAAUUUGCGUACCCUUUUUGCCAACCUUAACAUGGAACAAAAGGAAAAACUAAAUGAGCUAAUUAGUGCCAUCCAUGAAAAGGAUGAUCUCUUGGACUCCCAAGAGGACUUCCUAAUCAAGGAAAAUAAAAAACAUGUUAAGGUUAAGAAUGCUUAUGCUAUAGAGGUAGAAAAAUGUGAGAAAUUAUCUAGUGAGCUAAGCACAUGUCAUGACACUAUAGGCAACCUUAGAAAUGAAAAUGCCAAAUUAAUUGCUAAGGUUGACUCUCAUGUUUGUAAUGUUUCAACUUCCAAUCCUAGAGAUGAUAAAGUUGAUUUAAUUGCUAGGAUUGAUGAUUUGAAUGUUUCCAUUGCUAGCCUUAGGAUUGAAAAUGAGAAAUUGCUUGCCAAGGCUAAAGAUUUUGAUGUUUGCAAUGUUACUAUUUCUAACCUUAGAAGUGAAAAUGACAUAUUACAUGCUAAGGUUAUAGAAUUAAAAUCUUGCAAACCCUCUACAUCUGUCGUUGGGCAUGUAUCUAUUUGUACUAGAUGUAGAGAUGUUGAUAUUAAUGCUAUCCAUGAUCACAUGGCUUUAAUUAAACAACAAAAUGAUCAUAUAGCAAAAUUAAAUGCUAAAAUUGCCGAGCAUAACUUAGAGAAUGAAAAAUUUAAAUUUGCUCGUAGUAUGCUUUAUAAUGGGAGACUGUGACACCCCAGUGUCACCUAGGGUUUCUCUUGAAAAGCCCAACCAAAAACCAUCAUUUUAUGUAAAUCAAAGUAAGCAUGAGCAUCAAAAUAACUUAAGUAAGAAAGAGUUCACCAAGUAUAUGCUUAAAAGUGUCAUGAUCAAAACAAUUGAGUCUCUUAAAGGAUAAGAAUGUGCAACCCUAAUUAAGAACCCUAAGUGAGCCCCAUGAGCAAAAUUCAAGAAAAUAAGAAAAAGGGGAUGAAAAGUUUAAAAUUUUGAGUUGAGCCAAUUAUAUAAGUUAAAGUAUAUUUGAUAAACAACAAGAAAGAUUGAGAGAGCUUAGCCAAAAUAAUUCAAGAAAACCCCCAAAUCAAGCUUCUUUUGUUGGGACUCAUUGGGAAUUCUGAAUUUCAGAAUUCUGAAAUUCAGACCUUGAGCCAAAGAUUAGGGAUGUUCACCUUGAUCCCUAACUCGAAUCCUAAUGGCCCCAUUGACAAAAUUGUGUCUAACUAACCCCUCUGUCGUGUGCCAGAAGAUGGCAUUGGGACGCGAGCCCUAGACACGACAAAACUUGGGAUUUGCCUCGGGUCUGGGCAGGGAGACAGACCAGAUUUCCUGGCUCCAUAUCUCUGCAACCAGUAGGCAAAAUCCUAUGACCUCCACACAAGAAUGGUAGCUUGUAGGGAGGAGAAGAGGUUUCGUGCACUGGCCAAGGCGAGAGCAGGCUCGGAUGAGCGACCACACGCGCCAGAGCUUGGGCAGAACGCACGAGCACACGUGUUCGACCCUGGUCGGCACGCCAGAGCUCGCCCAACCCGCGCGCGCGCUCGCCCCGGCGUCCGGUCAAGUCCGCCGCGCGCCCACGCCCUCGGCCGUGCCCGCCCGCGCCUAUAAAGCCUCCCCGGGCGCACCUCUCUUUGCCCCGCACUCACCCUCACCGGCCAGCCACCGUUCCUUAGCUCCGGCAAGCGUAUCUUCCGCCCGCCAUUGCCGCCAGAGCUACGGCCGCCGUGGCCAGCCCACUCCAGCCACCCUCAAGCCCAACCAGUGCUUCGGCUAGCUCCGCCAGUAGCCCGUGAAGCUUGCCAAGCCCUCGGACCAGACCGGACUUCACCGGAGGCCCGAGAUCAACCUCACCGGACUUCGGUCUUCCGCCGCCGCGCGUGGACCGAGCUAUCCAGUGAGUCUCCGCCCGAUUCCUUUCACUCAUGUCUUCUCUGGCAACCCGUGGACCUCCCUGACCUAUUUAAUUGAACUACCUCGCCGUGACCAGGCCGGUCUCCUCGCCGCCGACGAGCAUCCCCGCCUGCGCGCGUGGACCGACCGACUCCGGCCAUCUCCGAUGGCGUUCCGCACACCGUUGUGAUCCCCGCGACCUCCCCUUCGUCCUCGACCACUUCACCGGAACAGUCUCGCCGCCGGUAAGCCCCUCCGCCCUUUUCUUCGCCGCGGCUACUGUUUGAGGUAGAAGAAGGACCUCGGGUUAGGUUCUGUAGAACCCGAGGGGUUUUCUGUAAUGUCAGCGACUCAUGUGAAUAGUAACCUAAGGACUGAUUCGCGAGGAAAACCUAGAAAAACCGCCAGGGACCCCAGUGCAAAGUGGAUUUCCAUUUAAUCAAUUCUUUUAUUCUUUUAAAAUAACCAGAGAACUUAGAAAAUCCAUAACUUGAUGAAAUCUUAAUGAAAAGCUGUCAAACCAAUUUUGCUAGCUCUGGAAUAUUAUGAUCUAUUAUUUAAAAAUAGUGAACCGUGUGCUUUCUGUUCUAAAUUUUAGAGUUUAAAAUUAAAAACAGAAACCCCCUAAACCUUGUUUAAUUAAGGAAAAUUAGUUUUUCUUUUGUGCUGAGCUUAAGAAAAUUUGUAGAUGCUUAUACCUUAAUUAUACACUGUUUAAAAAUAGUAGGAGCCCCAGCAUUAGAGAUUAUGAUGUAGUUAUUCAUUUAAAGCCAUUUUGUCCAAAACUUAGAGAAAAUCAGAAAAGCAUUAGAAAAUGUUGAACAGUGAUUAGUAAUAUUUUUCCUAGUUUACUUAUGCAACAAAGAACCUAGGAAAAAUGCAGAGACCAUUAAUUAGGACCAGUUUCUAAUUAAGAUGCUUUAAUUAGCCUUAUGAAGACUGAAAAUCAAUUAUUAGGAUUACAAAACUAUAACCAAAGUGGUUAACAAAAAUCCAGUGAACUCAUAACCACCAGAGCCCCACUACAAAAAUACAGAGCACCCCAGCCUAACUUUUUAAGUAAGGAAAAUAAAUACAAAGUGGUAAUAAGGCAUUUUCCCAAUAAAUCAUAAACAACCUCAAAUAAUGUGGCAUUGGGCAACCAAAAAUUUGCUAAGUCCAUGAUGAGAUAAACCACCAGAGAAAAAUACAAACCCAUGAAAAAGAAGUGAACCCAUGCCUUUUGCUAGUAAUUUGUGAGAAAGGCCAUUUGACUUAAAUAAUGCAAACCACCCCUUCCCUUAAGCAAAAAGAAGCCAAACUUCAGAAUGAUUGCUCUUGCGCAAAAUACCAACUAAGAAGAAUAAGAACUCUGUUGUUUGAUGUUUUUCAAAUAUAGUGGUAGUAGAAAGCACCUAUUUGGCUAAAAACUUGAGAAAACCAUAAGAAAAUAAUUAAAGGGUAUUAGUAACUAGAAAAUUGUAUCAAGUCAUGUUAUGACACCUAAAAGCCAGCAAAAAUAAGUUUUAAAGAAUUACCCACUGUUAAAUAAUAGUUGUAGUUCAAAGUACCCCUUCUGCCCUAAAAUUUGGUAAUUUUGUCCAGAGAAAACCAUUCACUUUCUGAACCCCAAAUUUUGUGACAGAGAAUCAUACACUAGUAACAAGCCACUGUAAUUUUUGCAGAAUUUUUAGAAUUUUAUAAAAGCAACUUGUAGUUCAAACCUACUCCAAAACAUUAAAGAGAAUAAAAGAAAAGAGAAGAAGGAAUAAACCUCAUCCCAUUAAAACUAACCCAAUUUACCAAGUAUACCACUAAAGGGUUUUACAUAAGCAAGGUUAACUUGUUUAAAUUCAAAAAAGACCAUACAUCUUUAAAGUUGUAAAUUCUAAAGCACAUAUCAUAUCAUGCAUGUAUCUUACGCAUUGCAUUCAUUAGAUUGUAAUCUUGCUGACGGAGAGUACGUGCUCAUCCCCGAGCAAGGACCUGUCCAAGAGGAGGACCAGGAGCAGGCUUCAGAGGCUGCUAUUGAGGAUCUCCCCGCAGCCCCAGCAAUUGAAGGCAAGCCCCGGUUUUAUGCAUAACCAUGUUAUUAUAUGCUACUUUACUACACUUAAUGCUUGUAGGAUUGCAAUGUGCACUUAAGUGUAGGAGUUGCUUGAAACCUCUAGUUGCAUGAACUUAGGAUUCCUUUUUGAGAUGAAUACUAGUAUGCUAGGUCGAGUAGCUGCUUGCUAAUCAGGAUCUCGGUAGAAGUCGAGUGAUUUUUCUAGCACUCGCGCGAGGUCAGGAAUUGAUUGUAUUCAUCUUGAUAAUGGGAUAUAUGUUGGUCCGUGGACUUGGAUCCAGGGAGGAUGCCUUGUCCAUGAGACGGGAAAAAUGAAUUAAGGAUUAAUGUGUGGAUACCUGAGUCAAGCUUUUGAACGUACUAAGCACAUGCCGGGAAAAAUGGUAACCGGUAAACCUAGUACCUGAGUGAAGCCGGGCGCGGACUUUAUCCCUCAUGCGACCUGAGACAGGGUCUCCCAUGCUAGCUAUGGUGGGUACAAGUGCGGUCACUGCACGGCGGCAGCCGAGGUCAGUGGAGCAUUGUAUGCCAAGGCGGUGAGGCCUGGACGCGAACGGGGAAUCGAUGGGGACGGUUGUCAUGUGUGGGGACGGAGUACCCUGACAUGCCGUGUGUUUAGGUUUACCUUGCAAGGUUUUAAAACUCGAUUCGAAUCGUCUGCUUCUCGCAGCUAAUGAGACUGCUUGAUUCCUUGUACUGCAUCGAGUAAGAAGUGAAAUGUGGAUUACAUGAGAUAACUUGUUGAUUGAGCUAAUUGCUUGUUACCAUGUAUGCUUAGAAGGAGCAAAUCUAGCUAAGUUAAUGAUGGUAGAACUUGAAAAGCUAAAAAUUGAUUUUAGAAACAGCUAGUGCUUUUGGCAAACCAAACCCCUCAGCCAAACAGCUGCAUAGUCUAGAGGUAGAGGAGUAGACUCCUCACACCGGUUAAGUCUAGCUGAGUAUUAGUAUACUCAGCCUUGCUUGUGGCACCAUUUUUGCAGGUACCAUGCAGGAUGUAGUUGAUGGUGUGACUUGGCCUACCACCCUGCCACCGGGUUGGACGGUCGAGUGGGAUGUUGCUCCGGCAGGAGAGGAGCAUGAGGAGUAGUGGGCUAGGCCUUGCCCAUUUCCUCAUUACCGAUGACAUCGAUUAUCCGCUGCACUUUAUUUUGUGAACUUUAUGGCUACUCAAGAACUCCGAUUUAUGUAAUAACUCAGCACUUAAUUUGAGGUUUCCUGUUUUAUUGUAUUUCUUCUGUGACUCACCUUCGAGUGAGAUUGUGGAAUUUGAUCCUGGUUAAGUGGCUCUAUCAGACUAGAUCUGAGGGACUGACGGGUUAUUCCGGUUUAAGUGCGUUACGGCCCCUGAGGCGUGACUUAGGCACUUAAGCUAGAAUAAUUCGGGUGGUUCUGCCACAGCUGGUAUCGGAGCAAAUUCCACCACAGAGAAGGACAAUAAACCAUGAAUACCAAUUUUCAAAACCUAAAACUUGCUUAGAAACUGUUACGGAUCGUCAGGACUGGACCGCUAGACCUAGGACGAAAGGCCUUAGGCAUAGGGGGAGAAAUAGGUGGCUAAUUAAUUAGGCCCUGUGGGCCAAUACUUAUAUUUUUGGAUGCCCUAAAAAGGCACCCUAUUUCCUUUUUGAGAGGCAACGUUUCUUUCAGCAUGCAUGCAUUAUAAAACACAAAGAGGAAUUAAAAUUUGAGCUAACCCCUUUUCUUUAGAACCAUCCGGGCUCUCUUUUUCUUUUUCCUUCCACCAUAAUCUUUAUCUUUGAUUCCCUUCCGCAGAUGAAUUCACCCACCCCCGCCAGUGGAGGAGACUCUCGUUUCAGUUCUGACUUCCUUUCUCGCGAUGGCUUUCCUUCCAUCUUGUGGGAAGUGCUUAACUCCGCCGGUUACCCUACGCCCCCUUUGUACACGGUGCAGUUGUAUGAGGAGCAUCGGGUACCUCGUUGUCGGGUCUGGCUAACUUUGGAGGCUCAUCCCCUUCAGCCGGGUUGGCGUUCUCUUGACUCUGAGACGAUUGGACUCAGGACGGACGACACCGUUGAGGCAGCAGCCAUGAAGACUCUGACGACUUUCUGUGGCUACCAUCCCCUGGAGAUGGUGAUGCACCCCUUGGGACUCUUCCCUGCUAAGAAGAAGGAUGAUCCCAUGUGGUGUAACCGCGUGAGCCAUGUGAAGGAUGUGUGGGCAAUGUAUCCUGACUUGGUUGGGAGGGUCACUGUUCAGUGCAUGAGUGCGCUGUACCGCCUUCAGGCCCUUCAGAGCGAUGCUAUGACACUUCUUGCUAACACCGCUCAGGCUGCCAAGCUCACUCUCGACAGUCGGGAAGAUUUUGUGGUCGACCUAUCCACAGAGUUGGUGGAAAAGGAUCUGCAGGUGGAGAGGCUGAGCCAGCGUAUCACCACCCUGGAGCAGCAAGUGGAGAUCCGAGAUAACACUAUUGAUGUCUUGGAGAACCAGCUUCACGACGUGCAGAGGGAACUUGAGGAAGCCAAUGACCACUUGGACAUGCACCACCUGGAGAUGGAGGCCAAUGAAGCAGGAAGCGAGGGAGAAGAGGCUCCCGAGGAGCUAGGACCAGCCCCUGGUGCCAAUGGGACUACCUCCGCGAUACCUCCUUCACCCGUAUCCAGUGUCGCUUCCACCGCUCAGGGUUAAGCAGUCGCUUUGACAUUUUUAUGCGGAUAGAAACCUAUGCGAGCUUAGUAGUAUCACAUUUUGGACUAGGCUUGUGGGUACCUUCCCCUGAUUAAUGUAACCCUGUAAACUUUUGAUAUCUGUGGGAUCCUUGUCACCCUGUUAUCUUCAUUUCGAACCUAAUAUUAUGAUUAUGGCAUUUUCCUUCCAUAUGAGAUGAUAUCUUGUCGUUCGGAAAUGUGAAUUGGGAUAAUAAUGGCGACAAUCUCUGUUUUCAGAUGGCAGCGAGGCAGCGUCGCGGGCAAAAUGAGCAAGCUCCCCCGCCACCUCCUCCAGCUCCCACAGUGCAGGAGCUGAUGGCCCAGCAGAAUGAAAUUCUGCGACAGCUCUUGCAGCGCCAGCCCCACCCUCAGCAUCAUGGUGGAGGCCAGCAUCAGCGACCUCCGGCUAUGGCAACAUACCAGGAGUUUCUGAGCACGCAGCCGCCCUUGUUCACCAAGGCAGAGGAUCCGUUGGACGUCGACGUGUGGCUUCGCGUCGUCGAGUCCAAGUUUCCCCUCCUCACGGGAGACUGCCCUGAUGAGACCAAGGCUCGCUUCGCCGCACAGCAGCUUCGCGGCCCUGCUCGGACUUGGUGGGACCACUUCCGUGCUAUGCUCCCCGCUGAUCGUGAAGUAUCUUGGGAGGAAUUCAAGACUGCCUUCAGAGGACACCACAUUCCAGCUGGCAUUCUUGAUCGGAAGUUGAAUGUAUUUCUGGCCCUUAAUCAAGGAACCCGCACGGUACUGCAGUAUGCGCAAGCCUUCAACGACUUAUGCCAGUAUGCAGGGUAUCAUGCUGAUUCUGAUGAAAAGAAGAGGGAUCGCUUCCGCAGGGGUCUCAAUACCAAGCUGCGGGAACGACUCAACACUGUCCGGGCUGAUAGCUUCAAUGAGUUGGUCAACAUGGCCAUCUCUCAGGAGGAUUGCAUUGUUGCUCACCGGGCAGAGAAGAAGAGGAAGGCACCAAUGGCAGCACCAUCCGCUCAGGCUCAGAGGUUCCGGAUUGUUUCUCACAAUCAGAGCAGGGGUUUUCAGCAGCAGGCAGGCAGAUGGGUGAUCAGGCCACCUCAGCAGCAGCAGCAGCCGGCACCCAACCGCUAUCCAGCUCCCGCCCCAAGAAACAAUCAGCCUCAGCAGCAGCAGCAGUUCCGCCAGGGCAAUGGGAACAAGUGUUUCACUUGUGGCAAUGUGGGCCACUAUGCCAAGAAUUGUCCCAGGAACCAGCAGAGGCAGAUGCCAGCACCAAAUCAAGACAAGGGAAGAAAGCAGAAGGUGCAAGUCAGGCAAGGGAAGCUCAACUUCACUGCUCUAGAGGAAGUGCCAGAAGGAGCUCCUAUCAUGACCGGUACCUUUUCAGUUUAUAAUCAACCUGCUUUAAUUCUGUUUGAUUCUGGUGCAUCUCAUAGUUUCAUUAGCCAAAAGUUCAGUGCUAAUUGCAAACUGCCAUUCUCUCACUCAAAAGGGUCAUUCAUGAUAGUCACACCUGGGGGUAAAAUUGCAACUAAUCAAUUAAACCAAAGUGUGCCUAUUCAACUGGGAAGCCACAUUGUCAAAACCACUCUUCUUGUGUUGGGAUUGGAAAAUGUGGACAUUAUUUUAGGAGCAAAUUGGAUGACCUUGCACCAAGUUGUGCUUGAUGUAGCCAGUCGUACCGUGGAAGUUAAUUCUCCUUUCUGCGGGAAUUUCACUUUGAUUCUGCCUAGUCAGGGUUCUUCUCAGUCAUGUGCUUUCUCUAUGACGGAGUUACCCCUGAAGAAGAUCCCAGUGGUCUGUGAGUAUGCAUAUGUCUUUCCUGAUGAAUUGCCAGGGAUGCCACCGGACCGGGAUAUUGAAUUCGCCAUCGAGUUGCAACCGGGAACGGCCCCAAUUUCCAAGAGGCCCUACCGAAUGCCACCCGCUGAGUUGGCAGAGUUGAAGAAGCAGUUGCAAGAGUUGCUGGACAAGGGAUUUAUUCGCCCAAGCACUUCGCCUUGGGGAUGUCCAGCGCUGUUUGUGAAGAAGAAGGAUGAAAGCUUGAGGCUGUGUAUAGAUUACCACCCUCUUAAUGCGGUAACUAUCAAGAACAAGUAUCCUUUGCCUCGUAUUGAUGUUCUCUUUGACCAGUUGGUCGGGGCUAAGGUGUUUUCCAAGAUAGACCUUCGCUCUGGCUACCACCAGAUCAAAAUACGAGCAAGUGAUAUUCCGAAGACGGCAUUCUCAACCAGAUAUGGGCUAUAUGAAUUCUUGGUAAUGUCAUUCGGGCUGACAAAUGCGCCAGCAUAUUUCAUGUAUCUGAUGAACUCUGUUUUCAUGCCGGAAUUGGACAAGUUCGUGGUGGUUUUCAUCGAUGAUAUUCUGGUGUACUCGAAGAACGAAGAAGAACAUGCCGGGCAUUUGCAUGUAGUGCUUCAACGUCUGCGAGAGCACCACCUUUAUGCCAAGUUAUCCAAGUGUGAUUUUUGGCUAAAGGAAAUCAAAUUCUUGGGUCACACUAUCUCUCAGGCUGGAAUAGUUGUUGAUCCUGAUAAAGUGCAAGAGGUGAUGAACUGGAGGCCACCAACGACUGUUCGCCAGAUUCGGAGUUUUCUGGGAUUGGCUGGUUAUUACCGAAGAUUUAUUCCGGACUUCUCUCGAAUUGCGAAGCCUAUUACUGAGUUGCUGAAGAAAGAGGUCAAGUUUGUGUGGAGUCAGAAGUGCGAAGAUGCCUUCCAUGCAUUAAGGCAGCAUCUGACCACAGCACCAGUAUUGGCGCAACCCGACAGCAGCAAGCCUUUUGAUGUGUAUUGCGAUGCCUCUGGCACCGGGCUAGGUUGUGUCUUGAUGCAAGACAACCGAGUCAUUGCUUAUGCCUCAAGAGCACUCAGGCCUCAUGAGCAAAAUUAUCCUACUCAUGACCUUGAGUUAGCAGCUGUGGUUCAUGCAUUGAAGAUGUGGAGGCACUAUCUAAUGGGAACCCACUGCAACAUCUUCACUGAUCAUAAGAGCCUUAAGUACAUUUUUACUCAGGCUGAUCUUAACAUGAGGCAGAGAAGAUGGCUAGAGCUGAUCAAGGAUUAUGACCUGGAGGUCCAUUAUCACCCAGGGAAAGCUAAUGUGGUAGCUGAUGCCUUGAGUCGGAAGUUGCAAUGCAACUGUAUUCUGAUGGAUUCUCAUGUUAACACCUUGUGUGAUGAGUUGAGCAAGAUGCAAAUUGAAGUGAUUCCUUCUGGUUCUUUGUCUCACAUUGCUGUUGAGCCAGCCUUGCAAGACCAGAUUAUCAUGGCCCAGCUCAGUGACAAGGGAGUGCAGAUUAUCAAGAAAAAUCUCCAUCAGAAGGUUGAGAAGUAUAAUUGUUUCCGCCAGGAUGAAAAGGGUGUGUUAUGGUUCAAAAGCAGAUUGGUAAUUCCUAAGGACCAGGAUCUCAAGAAGAAAAUUUUGGAUGAGGCUCAUCUCUCCAAAUUCUCUAUGCAUCCGGGAAGCACCAAGAUGUACCAUGAUUUGAAGCUUUUGUACUGGUGGACCAGAAUGAAGAGGGAGAUAGCCCAGUAUGUAUCAGAGUGUGACACCUGUCAGAGGAUAAAGGCAAGCCACUUGAAGUCCGCUGGAGCUUUGCGACCACUGUCCGUACCUUCGUGGAAGUGGGACGACAUCAGCAUGGAUUUCAUUGUGGGUCUACCCAACACCUCUCGUCGUCAUGAUUCGAUUUGGGUUAUUGUGGACCGAUUGACGAAAGUGGCACAUUUUCUUCCUGUGCACACCACUGAUAAGGCUCAGAAGUAUGCAGAAUUGUAUAUUGACCGGAUCAUGUGUUUGCAUGGAUUACCUCGGACCAUUGUUUCUGACCAAGGAGCCCAAUUUGUUGCCAGAUUUUGGGAACAAUUGCAAGAGUCUUUGGGAACCAAGCUAAUCAGGAGUUCAGCUUACCACCCACAGACUGAUGGUCAGACGGAAAGGGUAAACCAGAUUCUGGAGGAUAUGCUGAGAGCUUGUGCGAUCGAUUGUGGCAAGAACUGGGAUAAGCACCUCUCCUUGGCAGAGUUUGCUUAUAACAAUAGUUAUCAAUCCAGCCUAAAGAUGGCACCUUUUGAAGCUCUCUAUGGAAGAAGGUGCAGGACACCACUCAAUUGGUCUCAGCCUGGUGAAAGAGAAGUUUUUGGACCUGAUUUGGUGACUGAAGCCGAAAGGAAGGUCAAGCUAAUCAGGAAGAAUCUAGAAGCUGCUCAGGCCAGACAGAAGAGCUAUCAUGAUAGAAGAAGGAAACCUCUCCAGUUCGAGGUGGGAAGUUUUGUAUACCUCAAGGUAUCACCCACCAAGGGAGUGCAGAGGUUUGGGAUCAAAGGCAAGCUAGCCCCUCGUUACAUUGGACCUUAUGAGAUCAUAGAAGCAUGUGGACCCGUGGCAUACAAGCUGAAGUUACCUUCAAAGAUGUCUGCCAUUCACAGUGUAUUCCAUGUAUCUCAGCUGAAGAAAUGUAUUCGAUUGCCGACUGAGAUCAUAGCAGAGCCAGAAUUGGAGAUAGAGCCAGAUCUCUCGUACCAAGAGUACCCCUCCAAGAUUCUGGAUUGCAAGGAAAGAUCAACUCGGGCUAAAUCGAUCAAGAUGUUCAAGGUCCAGUGGAGUAAUCACUCAGAGGAGGAAGCUACUUGGGAAACCGAGGAAUUCCUAAGAUCCAACUUCCCCGAUUGCCUACCUAAGGAAGCUGGUAUGUAAUCACCCCCAACCCCUCCUCCUGCCUUUCGAAUCUAAUUUCCAAAAAUAUGAUCUUAAUUCAGAAUGAAGUGACUAUAAAGUAAAACUUAAAGGGACUUCCUUCUGAAGUUGCAAAGAGAAUGACAUUCGAAGAGCAGUUUUGCCCUAAUAAUAACAAUCCCACCCUUUUCCUAUCAGUCUCACCCUUCGCUUGACCUCGGAAGGACUCUGGCCCGAAUCUCGGGACGAGAUUCCUUUAAGGGGGAAGGCUGUGACACCCCAGUGUCACCUAGGGUUUCUCUUGAAAAGCCCAACCAAAAACCAUCAUUUUAUGUAAAUCAAAGUAAGCAUGAGCAUCAAAAUAACUUAAGUAAGAAAGAGUUCACCAAGUAUAUGCUUAAAAGUGUCAUGAUCAAAACAAUUGAGUCUCUUAAAGGAUAAGAAUGUGCAACCCUAAUUAAGAACCCUAAGUGAGCCCCAUGAGCAAAAUUCAAGAAAAUAAGAAAAAGGGGAUGAAAAGUUUAAAAUUUUGAGUUGAGCCAAUUAUAUAAGUUAAAGUAUAUUUGAUAAACAACAAGAAAGAUUGAGAGAGCUUAGCCAAAAUAAUUCAAGAAAACCCCCAAAUCAAGCUUCUUUUGUUGGGACUCAUUGGGAAUUCUGAAUUUCAGAAUUCUGAAAUUCAGACCUUGAGCCAAAGAUCAGGGAUGUUCACCUUGAUCCCUAACUCGAAUCCUAAUGGCCCCAUUGACAAAAUUGUGUCUAACUAACCCCUCUGUCGUGUGCCAGAAGAUGGCAUUGGGACGCGAGCCCUAGACACGACAAAACUUGGGAUUUGCCUCGGGUUUGGGCAGGGAGACAGACCAGAUUUCCUGGCUCCAUAUCUCUGCAACCAGUAGGCAAAAUCCUAUGACCUCCACACAAGAAUGGUAGCUUGUAGGGAGGAGAAGAGGUUUCGUGCACUGGCCAAGGCGAGAGCAGGCUCGGAUGAGCGACCACACGCGCCAGAGCUUGGGCAGAACGCACGGGCACACGUGUUCGACCCUGGUCGGCACGCCAGAGCUCGCCCAACCCGCGCGCGCGCUCGCCCCGGCGUCCGGUCAAGUCCGCCGCGCGCCCACGCCCUCGGCCGUGCCCGCCCGCGCCUAUAAAGCCUCCCCGGGCGCACCUCUCUUCGCCCCGCACUCACCCUCACCGGCCAGCCACCGUUCCUUAGCUCCGGCAAGCGUAUCUUCCACCCGCCAUUGCCGCCAGAGCUACGGCCGCCGUGGCCAGCCACUCCAGCCACCCUCAAGCCCAACCAGUGCUUCGGCUAGCUCCGCCAGUAGCCCGUGAAGCUUGCCAAGCCCUCGGACCAGACCGGACUUCACCGGAGGCCCGAGAUCAACCUCACCGGACUUCGGUCUUCCGCCGCCGCGCGUGGACCGAGCUAUCCAGUGAGUCUCCGCCCGAUUCCUUUCACUCAUGUCUUCUCUGGCAACCCGUGGACCUCCCUGACCUAUUUAAUUGAACUACCUCGCCGUGACCAGGCCGGUCUCCUCGCCGCUGACGAGCAUCCCCGCCUGCGCGCGUGGACCGACCGACUCCGGCCAUCUCCGAUGCGUUCCGCACACCGUUGUGAUCCCCGCGACCUCCCCUUCGUCCUCGACCACUUCACCGGAACAGUCUCGCCGCCGGUAAGCCCCUCCGCCCUUUUCUUCGCCGCGGCUACUGUUUGAGGUAGAAGAAGGACCUCGGGUUAGGUUCUGUAGAACCCGAGGGGUUUUCUGUAAUGUCAGCGACUCAUGUGAAUAGUAACCUAAGGACUGAUUCGCGAGGAAAACCUAGAAAAACGCCAGGGACCCCAGUGCAAAGUGGAUUUCCAUUUAAUCAAUUCUGUUAUCUUUUAAAAUAACCAGAGAACUUAGAAAAUCCAUAACUUGAUGAAAUCUUAAUGAAAAGCUGUCAAACCAAUUUUGCUAGCUCUGGAUAUUAUGAUCUAUUAUUUAAAAUAGUGAACCGUGUGCUUUCUGUUCUAAAUUUUAGAGUUUAAAAUUAAAACAGAAACCCCUAAACCUUGUUUAAUUAAGGAAAAUUAGUUUUUCUUUUGUGCUGAGCUUAAGAAAAUUUGUAGAUGCUUAUACCUUAAUUAUACACUGUUUAAAAUAGUAGGAGCCCAGCAUUAGAGAUUAUGAUGUAGUUAUUCAUUUAAAGCCAUUUGUCCAAAACUUAGAGAAAUCAGAAAGCAUUAGAAAAUGUUGAACAGUGAUUAGUAAAUUUUUCCUAGUUUACUUAUGCAACAAAGAACCUAGGAAAAAUGCAGAGACCAUUAAUUAGGACCAGUUUUCUAAUUAAGAUGCUUUAAUUAGCCUUAUGAAGACUGAAAAUCAAUUAUUAGGAUUACAAAACUAUAACCAAAGUGGUUAACAAAAAUCCAGUGAACUCAUAACCACCAGACCCCACUACAAAAAUACAGAGCACCCCAGCCUAACUUUUAAGUAAGGAAAAUAAAUACAAAGUGUAAUAAGGCAUUUUCCAAUAAUCAUAAACAACCUCAAUAAUGUGCAUUGGGCAACCAAAAAUUUGCUAAGUCCAUGAUGAGAUAACCACCAGAGAAAAUACAACCCAUGAAAAAGUGAACCCAUGCCUUUUGCUAGUAAUUGUGAGAAGGCCAUUUACUAAAUAAUGCAACCACCCCUUCCCUUAAGCAAAAGAAGCCAAACUUCAGAAUGAUUGCUCUUGCGCAAAAUACCAACUAGAGAAUAAGAACUCUGUGUUUGAUGUUUUUCAAUAUAGUGGUAGUAGAAAGCACCUAUUUGGCUAAAACUUGAGAAAACCAUAAGAAAAUAAUUAAAGGGUAUUAGUAACUAGAAAAUUGUAUCAAGUCAUGUUAUGACACCUAAAAGCCAGCAAAAAAUAAUUUUAAAGAAUUACCACUGUUAAAUAAUAGUUGUAGUUCAAAGUACCCUUCUGCCCUAAAAUUUGGUAAUUUUGUCCAGAGAAAACCAUUCACUUUCUGAACCCCAAAUUUGUGACAAGAAUCAUACACCAGUAACAAGCCACUGUAAUUUUGCAGAAUUUUUAGAAUUUUAUAAAAGCAACUUGUAGUUCAACCUACUCCAAAACAUAAAGAGAAUAAAGAAAAGGAAGAAGGAAUAAACCUCAUCCCAUUAAAACUAACCCAAUUUACCAAGUAUACCACUAAAGGGUUUACAUAAGCAAGGUUAACUUGUUUAAAUUCAAAAAAGACCAUACAUCUUUAAAGUUGUAAAUUCUAAGCACAUAUCAUAUCAUGCAUGUAUCUUACGCAUGCAUCAUUAGAUUGUAAUCUUGCCGACGGGAGUACGUGCUCAUCCCGAGCCAAGGACCUGUCCAAGAGGAGGACCAGGACAGGCUUCAAAGGCUGCUAUUGAGGAUCUCCCCGCAGCCCCAGCAAUUGAAGGCAAGCCCCGGUUUAUGCAUAACCAUGUUAUUAUAUGCUACUUUACUACACUUAAUGCUUGUAGGAUUGCAAACUAGUAUGCUAGGUCGAGUAGCUGCUUGCUAAUCAGGAUCUCGGUAGAAGUCGAGUGAUUUUCUAGCACUCGCGCGAGGUCAGGAAUUGAUUGUAUUCAUCUUGAUAAGGGAUAAUGUUGGUCUGGACUUGGAUCCAGGGAGAUGCCUUGUCCAUGAGACGGGAAAAAUGAAUUAAGGAUUAAUGUGUGGAUACCUGAGUCAAGCUUUUGAACGUACUAAGCACAUGCCGGGAAAAAUGGUAACCGGUAAACCUAGUACCUGAGUGAAGCCGGGCGCGGACUUUAUCCCUCAUGCGACCUGAGACGGGUCUCCCAUGCUAGCUAUGGUGGGUACAAGUGCGGUCACUGCACGGCGGCAGCCGGGUCAGUGGAGCAUUGUAUGCCAAGGCGGUGAGGCCUGGACGGAACGGGGAAUCGAUGGGACGGUUGUCAUGUGUGGGGUCGGAGUACCCUGACAUGCCGUGUGUUUAGGUUUACCUUGCAAGGUUUAAACUCGAUUCGAAUCGUCUGCUUCUCGCAGCUAAUGAGCUGCUUGUUCCUUGUACUGCAUCGAGUAAGAAGUGAAAUGUGGAUUACAUGAAUAACUUGUUGAUUGAACUAAUUGCUGUUUACAUGUUAUGCUUAGAAGGAGCAAAUCUAGCUAAGUUAAUGAUGUAAACUUGAAAAGCUAAAAAUUGAUUUUAGAAACAGCUAGUGCUUUGGCAAACCAAACCCUCAGCCAACAGCUGCAUAGUCUAGAGGUAGAGAGUAGACUCCUCACACCGGUUAAGUCUAGCUGAGUAUUAGUAUAUACUCAGCCUUGCUUGUGGCACCAUUUUUGCAGUACCAUCAGGAUUGUUGAUGGUGUGACUUGGCCUACACCCUGCCACCGGUUGGACGGUCGAGUGGGAUGUUGCUCCGGCAGGAGAGGAGCUGAGGAGUAGUGGGCUAGCCUUGCCAUUUCCUCAUUACCGACGACAUCGAUUAUCCGCUGCACUUUAUUUUGUGAACUUUAUUUGCUACUCAAGAACUCCGAUUUAUGUAAUAACUCAGCACUUCNNNNNNNNNNNNNNNNNNNNNNNNNNNNNNNNNNNNNNNNNNNNNNNNNNNNNNNNNNNNNNNNNNNNNNNNNNNNNNNNNNNNNNNNNNNNNNNNNNNNAUGUGGUUUGUGCAUCCGCUAUCAAUUAUCCAACUUGAGCCCCCGGAUGCAUAAACCUGCAAAACAAUUUAGGCCUUGUUCUUAGGUACCCAAACAGUCUUGGGCCCUUUGAUGUUAGAAACAAGCACCUUGGGUACCCAAAAACAAGUCUUUGAUCCCUUGUGUUUGCCCCCCAACAUAUUUGGCAACUAUUUUGCCUGAUUUGUUAGUUAAGACAUAGGAUGCAUCAAAAGUUUUAAAUGAAACAUUAUGAUCAUUUGAUGCAAUAAGGUUUUUUUAGGCAUUUUAACAUGUGUAGAAUGCCUAGAGCUAGAUGCCUCAUUCUUAUACAUAUAAGCAUGGUGAGAAAUAGAAUGAGACUUCUUAGUAUGAAUUCUCCUAAUUUUGUGUUCGGGAUAACCAGCAGGAUAUAAAAUGUAGCCCUCGUUAUCCUGAACCAUGGGAGUCUUGCCCUUUACAAAGUUAGACAAUCUUUUAGAGGCAUUAAGCUUGACAUUGCUUCCCUUUUAGAAACCAAUGCCAUCCUUAAUCCCAGGGCGUCUCCCACUAUAGAGCAUUCUCCUAGCAAAUUUAAUUUUUUCAUUUUCUAUCUCAUGCUCAUUGAUUUUAGUGGUUAAUUGAGCUAUAUGAUCAUUUUGUUGUUUAAUUAAAGCAAGAUGAUCAUGAAUAGCAUCAAUAUCUCUACAUCUAGUACAAAUAACAACAUGUUCAAUAGUAGAUGUAGAGGGUUUGCAAACAUUUAAUUCAUCUAUCUUAGAUUUUAGCAUGGCAUUUUCAUCUCUAAGAUAGGAAAUAGAAUCAUUGCAAACAUUUAAAUCUUUAGCCUUUGAAAUUAAACUAGCAUUUUCAGUUUUAAGGCUAGAAAUUGAUUCAUUCAAUUUAUCAAUCUUAGCAAUUAAACUAGCAUUUUCAUUUCUAAGAUUGGUAAUUGAAUCAUGGCAAACAUUUGAUUUUUCAACCUUAGAAAUUAAACUAACAUUCUCAGUUCUAAGGUUGGAAAUAGUGUCAUGGCAAAUGUUAAGCUCUUUAGUCAAGUUUCACAUUUUUCUAUCUCCUAAGCAUAAGCAUUUUUAAAUUUAACAUGCUUUUGUUUUCCUUAAUAAGGAAUUCCUCUUGGCUAUCCAAGAGUUCAUCCUUCUCAUGAAUAGCACCUAUCAAUUCAUUCAAUUUCUCUUUUUAUUGCAUGUUAAGGUUGGCAAAAAAGGUAAGCAAAUUUUCCUCAUCUUCACUAGAGCUACCCUCAUCACUAGAUGUUGUAUAUUUGGUGGAGGCUCUAGAUUUUACCUUCUUCCUUUUACUGUCCUUUGCCAUGAGGCACUUGUGGCCGACAUUGGGGAAGAGGAGACUUUUGUUGACAGCGAUGUUGGUGGCAUCCUCGUCGGAGGAGGAGUCGGUGGAGCUCACGUCGGAGUCCCAUUCCCGACACACUUAGGCAUCGCCGUCCUUCUUCUUGUAGUACUUCUUCUUUUCCUUCUUCCUCCCCUUCUUGUCGUCGCCCCUGUCACUGUCACUAGAUAUAGGACAUUUUGCAAUAAAAGACCGGGCUUACCACACUUGUAGCACACCCUUUUGGAACGGGGCUUGUAGUCUCUCCCCCUCCUUUGCUUGAGGAUUUCACGGAAUCUCUUGAUGAUAAGCGCCAUCUCCUCAUUGUCGAGCUUGGAGGCGUCGAUGGGGAGCCUACUUGAUGUAGACUCUUCUUUCUUCUCUUCCGUCGCUUUGAAUGUGAUGGGUUGCACCUCAGGUGUGGAGGUGCCGCCUUGCUCCAAGUUGACAAUUUGUUUGGAGCCUUUGAUCAUCAAUUCAAAGCUCACAAACUUUCCUAUAACCUCCUCGGGAGACAUUAGCCGCCUUGCACGUAUUAAUUGAACUUAAUUAGGAUUGCGAAAAACGAGUGAUUUUAGAAUAACCUUGACCAUUUCAUGGUCAUCCCAUUUGGUGCUCCCGAGGUUGCGCACUUGAUUCAUAAGGUCUUGAGCCGGUUGUACAUCGCUUGUGGCUCCUCUCCUUGGUUGAGGACGAAUUGACCGAGCUCCUCCUCGAUCGUCUCAUGUUUGGUGAUCUUGGUCACCUCGUCCCCUUCGUGCGUGGUCUUGAGCAUGUCCCAAAUCUCCUUGGCGCUUUUCAACCCUUGCACUUUAUUAUACUCCUCUCGACAUAGAGAGGCGAGGAGUAUAGUAGUGGCUUGGGAGUUGAAGUGCCAGAUUUGGGUGACCUCGUCCGAGUCAUAUAGCCCACGUCCCCCAUGGAUGGUACCUGCGCUCCAAACUGAACAAUAUCCCAUAUACUUGCGUGGAGUGAGGUUAGGUGAUGCCUCAUUUUAUCACUCCACAUACAAAUAGUCCUCACCAUCAAAAACCGGUGGUUUGCCUAAUGGGACGGAAAGUAAAGGAGCACGUUUAGAAAUGCGGGGAUAGCGUAAGGUGAUCUUACUAAACUUCUUGCGCUCAUGGCGCUUAGAAGUGACGGACGCGGCGUCGGAGCCGGAGGUGGAGGGCGACGACGAGUCGGUCUCGUAGUAGACCACUUUCUUCAUCUUUUACUUCUUGUCGCCACUCCGAUGCGACUUGACGCGGGGAGGUGAUUCCUCCCUUCCUUUAGCGCUGGAUUCCCUUGAUGGAGCCUUCCCGUGGCUUGUGGCCGUUUCCAUUUCCCUCUUGGUGGAUCCUCCUAACAUUACUUCGAGUGGUUAGACUCUAAAUGAAGUACCGGGCUCUGAUACCAAUUGAAAGUCGCCUAGAGGGGGGGUGGAUAGGCGGAAACUGAAAUUUACAAACUUAAGCACACUACAAGCCGAGGUUAGCGUUAGAAUAAAAUCCGAGUCCGAGAGAGAGGGGAAAACAAAUCAACUAAGAAAAUAAAGCGGAUGUCACGGUGAUUUGUUUUACCGAGGUUCAGUUCCAAAGAACCUAGUCCUCGUUGAGGUGGUCACAAAGACCGGGUCUCUUUCAACCCUUUCCCUCUCUCAAACGGUCACUUAGACCGAGUGAGGCUUCUUCCUUAAUCUCACGGGUCACUUAGACCCGCAAGGACCAGCUCACAAUUGGUGUCUCUUGCCUCGCUUACAAAGCACUUGAGAGUAAGAAGUGAGAAAGAAAAGAAAGCCAAGCCAAGCAAACAAGAGCAACAAGAAACACAAGUGAUCCUCUCACAAGUCCUAAUGCGCUAGAAUUGAAUUGGGGACUUUGAUCGAAUCGGUGGCUUUGAUUUGUGUCUUGGAGUGUUGCACUUUGUUCUUGUAUUGAAUGGAGAGUGUUGAAUGCUUGGAUGGUUGGAGUGGAGGUGGUUGGGGGUAUUUAUAGCCCUCAACCACCAAAACAACCGUUGGGGUCGUUGCUGUCGAUGGGCACACCGGACAGUCUGAUGCGCCACUAGGCACUGUCUGGUACGCCAGCCACGUCACCCAACCGUUAGGGUUCUAGCGGUUUCGAUCGUUGGAGCUUUGUCUUCAUGUGGCACCGAAUAGUCCGGUGCCGCACCAGACAGGAACUGUUCACUGUCCGGUGCGCCUCUGGCGGCUGCUCUGACUUCUGCGCGAACUGUCCGUGCACUGUAGCAUUGCAGGUGUCCGUUGCAGUCGACGAUUGCGCUGGUAGCCGUUGCUCCGCUUGGCACACCAGACAGUCCGGUGGCACACCAGACAGUCCGGUGAAUUAUAGCGUAGUGGCGCUGAAGAAACCCGAAGGUGAGGAGUUCGCAGUUGUAUGGUCUUGGUGCACCGGACACAGUCCGGUGGCACACCGGACAGUCCGGUGCGCCAAACCAGAGCACACUUUGGUUCUUUUGCUCCUUUGUUUUGAACCCUAACUUUGAUCUUUUAUUGGUUUGUGUUGAACUUUUAUGCACCUAUGGAAUAUAUAAUAUAGAGCAAACUAGUUAGUCCAAUUAUUUGUGUUGGGCAUUCAACCACUAAAAGUUCCCUAUGCCCGGGAACAGGAUUUGGAUGUCGCCUAGAGGGGGGUGAAUAGGCCAAUAAUAAUUAUCAAUUUAAAACUGGAAAUUCUUACUCUACUCGAAGGCUGGAUCGCAGUGGAUUGAAAGACCCUUCGAGUAGGUUGCAGUGGAAUUGAAGUUCCUGUCUUAAAAUACCCUGCACUUUGAAGACAGCUUGUACCACAUAUAAAUAUAGAAGUGCAAGUAUAAACAGCAAAUAAGACAGAGAAACAUCACACAACACAGAGCAGAGCACACAGACACCGGGAUUUAUCUCGAGGUUCGGCCAAGCGUGAAAUGCUUGCCUAGUCCUCGUUGGAGUUAGCCACACCUUGGCUUGGAGUCUAUUUCAACUCCUUCGUCCAUUUGCUCAGAUCUGUCGGUGCAAUAGAUAGAGCCUUCCACUAUGUUGAUAUCAGUUACAACGAUGUCGUGGCUGCUUACAAUCUUCCUGACAGCACUCCGACAGAGUAACAAUGCGCUCAAGAUUUUGCUCUAGCUCUCAGCAGCACUUCCCCUCUCUCUAAAGGCUUAUAACUUCGCCUCUACACAAACUAGAGAGAUACACAAGAGAGGGAGAGAAAGAAUUGAUCCAAAUAGUGUAUGGACUUGUUGGCUGCAUUUGUGUACUUGUUUGAGGCGCCUAGGGGUCCCUUUUAUAGCCCCAAAGGGCCUAGGAGCCGUUGAAGCUUCAUUUGAAAGCUCCCAGCCUUCCCUGGUUGCGGGUGCAUUGGACUGUUCGGUGGCGCACCGGACAGUGAACAAUAAUGGAUAUGAUUGACAGUUUCCUUCUCUGGAAGACCUAGCCGUUGGUGCACCGGACAGAGUGACUAUUCACUGUCAUGUGCACCGGACAGAGUGACUAUUCACUGUCAUGUGCACCGGACAGGUCACUAUUCACUAUCCUGUGCACCGGACAGAGUUACUAUUCACUGUCAUGUGUGUGACACCCCAGUGUCACCUAGGGUUUCUCUUAAAAAGCCAAACCAAGGACCAUUAUUUUAUGUGAACCAAAGUAAGCAUGAGCAUCAAAAUAACUUAAGUAAGAAAGAAUUCACCAAGUAUAUGCUUAAAAGUGUCAUGAUCAAGACAAUUGAGUCUCUUAAAGGAUAAGAAUGUGCAACCCUAAUUAAGAACCCUAAGUGAACCCCAUGAACAAAAUUCAAGAAAAUAAGCAAAAGGGAAUGAAAAGUUUAAAAUUUUGAGUUGAGCCAAUUAUAUAAGUUAAAGUAUUUGAUAAGCAACAAGAUAGAUUGAGAAAGCUUAGCCAAAAUAAUUCAAGAAAACCCCCAAAUCAAGCUUCUUUUGUUGGGACUCAUUGGGAAUUCUGAAUUUCAGAAUUCUGAAAUUCAGACCUUGAGCCAAAGAUCAGGGAUGUUCACCUUGAUCCCUAACUCGAAUCCUAAUGGCCCCAUUGACAAAAUUGUGUCUAACUAACCCCUCUAUCUUGUGCCAGAAGAUGGCAUUGGGACGCGAGCCCUAGACACGACAAAACUUGGGAUUUGCCUCGGGUUUGGGCAGGGAGACGGACCAGAUUUCCUGGCUCCAUAUCUCUGCAACCAGUAGGCAAAAUCCUAUGACCUCCACACAAGAAUGGUAGCUUGUAGGGAGGAGAAGAGGUUUUGUGCACUGACCAAGGCGAGAGCAGGCUCGGAUGAGCGACCACACGCGCCAGAGCUUGGGCAGAACGCACGGGCACACGUGUUCGACCCUGGUCGGCACGCCAGAGCUCGCCCAACCCGCGCGCGCGCUCGCCCCGGCGUCCGGUCAAGUCCGCCGCGCGCCCACGCCCUCGGCCGUGCCCGCCCGCGCCUAUAAAGCCUCCCCGGGCGCACCUCUCUUCGCCCCGCACUCACCCUCACCGGCCAGCCACCGUUCCUUAGCUCCGGCGAGCUCAUUUCCGCCCGCCAUUGCCGCCAGAACUACGGCCGCCGUGGCCAGCCCACUCCAGCCACCCUCCAGCCCAACCAGUGCUUCGGCUAGCUCCGCCAGUAGCCCGUGAAGCUUGCCAAGCCCUCGGACCCGACCGGACUUCACCGGAGGCCCGAGAUCAACCUCACCGGACUUCGGUCUUCCGCCGCCGCGCGUGGACCAAGCUAUCCAGUGAGUCUCCACCCGAUUCCUUUUGUUCAUGUCUUCUCUGGCAUCCCGUGGACCUCCCUGACCUAUUUGAUUGAACUAUCUCGCCGCGACCAGGCCGGUCUCCUCGCCGCCGACGAGCAUCCCCGCCUGCGCGCGUGGACCGACCGACUCCGGCCAUCUCCGACGGUGUUCCGCACACCGUUGUGAUCCCCGCGACCUCCCCUUCACCCUCGGCCACUUCACCGGAACAGUCUCGCCGCCGGUAAGCCCCUCCGCCCUUUUCUUCGCCGCGGCUACUGUUUAAGGUAGAAGAAGGACCUCGGGUUAGGUUCUGUAGAACCCGAGGGGUUUUUCGUAAUGUCAGCGACUCAUGUGAAUAGUAACCUAAGGACUGAAUUGCGAGGAAAACUUAGAAAACCGCCAGGGACCCCAGUGCAAAGUGGAUUUCCAUUUAAUCAAUUUUGUUAUUUCUUUUUAAAAUGACCAGAGAACUUAGAAAAUCCAUAACUUGAUGAAAUCUUAAUGAAAAGCUGUCAAACCAAUUUUGCUAGCUCUGGAAUUUUAUGACCUAUCAUUUAAAAAUAGUGAACCAUAUGCUUUCUGUUCUAAAUUUUAGAGUUUAAAAUUAAAAACAGAAACCCCCUAAACCUUGUUUAAUUAAGGAAAAUUAGUUUUUCUUUUGUGCUGAGCUUAAGAAAAUUUGUAGAUGCUUAUACCUUAAUUAGACACUGUUUAAAAAUAGUAGGAGCCCCAGCAUUAGAGAUUAUGAUGUAGUUAUUCAUUUAAAGCCAUUUUGUCCAAAACUUAGAGAAAAUCAGAAAAGCCUUAGAGAUUAAUGAACAGUGAUUAGUAAUAUUUUCCUAGAUUACUUAUGCAACAGAGAACCUAGGAAAAAUGCAGAGACCAUUAAUUUGGACCAGUUUGUAAUUAAGAUGCUUUAAUUAGCAUUAUGUAGACUGAAAAUCAAUUAUUAGAAUUGCAAAACUAUAACCAAAGUGGUUAACAAAAAUCCAGUGAACUUAUAACCACCAGAGCCCCACUACAAAAAUACAGAGCACCCCAGCCUAACUUUUUAAGUAGGGAAAAUAAAUACAGAAUGAUAAUAAGGCAUUUUCCCACUAAAUCAUGAGCAACCCCAAAUAAUGUGAUAAUGGGCAACCAAAAUUUUGCUAAGUCCAUGAUGAGAUAAACCACCAGAGAAAAAUACAAACCCAUGAAAAAGAAGUGAACCCAUGCCUUUUGCUAGUAAUUUGUGAGAAAGGCCAUUUAGCUCAAAUAAUGCAAACCACCCCUUCCCUUAGGCAAAAGGAAGCCAAACUCCAGAAUGAUUGCUCUUGCACAAAAUACUAGCUAAGAAAAAUAAGAACUCUGUUGUUUGAUGUUUUUCAAGUAUAGUGGUAGUAGAAAGCACCCUUUGGCUAGAAACCUUAGAAAAUCUUAGGGAAAGAAUUAAAGGGUAUUAAUGACUAGAAAUUUGUAUCAAGUCAUGUUAUAACACCUAAAAGCCAGCAAAAAUAAGUUUUUGAGAAUUACCCACUAUUAAAUAAUAGUUGUAGUUCAAAGUACCCCUUCUGCCCUAAAAUUUGGUAAUUUUGUCCAGAGAAAACCAUUCACUUUCUGAACCCAAAUUUUGAGACAGAGAAUCAUACACCAGUAACAAGCCACUGUAAUUUUUGCAGAAUUUUUGAAAUUUUAUAAAAGCAACUUGUAGUUCAAACCUACUCCAAAACAUUAAAGAGAAUAUAAGAAAAGAGAAGAAGAAAUAAACCUCAUCCCAAUAAGACUAACCCAAUUUACCAAGUAUACUACUAAAGGGUUUUACAUAAGUAAAGUUAACUGGUUUUAACUCAAAAGAUCAUACAUCUUUAAAGUUAUAAAUUCUAAAGCACAUAUCAUAUCAUGCAUAUAUCUUACGCAUGGCAUUCAUUAGAUUGUAAUCUUGCCGACGGAGAGUACGUGCUCAUCCCCGAGCAAGGACCUAUCCAAGAGGAGGACCAGGAGCAGGCUUCAGAGGCUGCUAUUGAGGAUCCCCCCGUAGCCCCAGCAAUUGAAGGCAAGCCCCGGUUUUAUGCAUAACCAUGUUAUUAUAUGCUACUUUACUACACUUAAUGCUUGUAGGAUUGCAAUGUGCACUUAAGUGUAGGAGUUGCUUGAAACCUCUAGUUGCAUGAACUUAGGAUUCCUUUUUGAGAUGAAUACUAGUAUGCUAGGUCGAGUAGCUGCUUGCUAAUCAGGAUCUCGGUAGAAGUCGAGUGAUUUUUCUAGCACUCGCGCGAGGUCAGGAAUUGAUUGUAUUCAUCUUGAUAAUGGGGUAUAUGUUAGUCCGUGGACUUGGGUCCAGGGAGGAUGCCAUGUCCAUGAGACGGGAAAAAUGAAUUAAGGAUUAAUGCGUGGAUACCUGAGUCAAGCUUUUGAACGUACUAAGCACAUGCCGGGAAAAAUGGUAACCGGUAAACCUAGUACCUGAGUGAAGCCGGGCGCGGACUUUAUCCCUCAUGCGACCUGAGACAGGGUCUCCCAUGCUAGCUAUGGUGGGUACAAGUGCGGCCACUGCACGACGGCAGUCGGGUCAGUGGAGCAUUGUAUGCCAAGGCGGUGAGGCCUAGACGCGAACGGGGAAUCGAUGGGGACGGUUGUCAUGUGUGGGGUCGGAGUACCCUGACAUGCCGUGGUUUAGGUUUACCUUGCAAGGUUUAAAAACUCGAUUCAAAUCGUCUGCUUCUCGCAGCUAAUGAGACUGCUUGAUUCCUUGUACUGCAUCGAGUAAGAAGUGAAAUGUGGAUUAUAUGAGAUAACUUGUUGAUUGAACUAAUUGAUUGUUACCAUGUAUGCUUAGAAGGAGCAAAUCUAGCUAAGUUAAUGAUGGUAGAAUUGAAAAGCUAAAAGUUGAUUUUAGAAACAGCUAGUGCUUUUGGCAAACCAAACCCCUCAGCCAAACAGCUGCAUAGUCUAGAGGUAGAGGAGUAGACUCCUCACACCGGUUAAGUCUAGCUGAGUAUUAGUAUACUCAGCCUUGCUUGUGGCACCAUUUUUGCAGGUACCAUGCAGGAUGUAGUUGAUGGUGUGACUUGGCCUACCACCCUGCCACCGGGUUGGACGGUCGAGUGGGAUGUUGCUCCGGCAGGAGAGGAGCAUGAGGAGUAGUGGGCUAGGCCUUGCCCAUUUCCUCAUUACCGACGACAUCGAUUAUCCGCUGCACUUUAUUUAUGAACUUUAUCGCUACUCAAAACUCCGAUUUAUGUAAUAACUCAGUACUUAAUUUGAGGUUUCCUGUUUUAUUGUAUUUCUUCUGUGACUCACCUUCGAGUGAGAUUGUGGGAUUUGAUCCUGGUUAAGUGGCUUCAUCAGACUAGAUCUGAGGGACUGACGGGUUAUUCCGAUUUAAGUGUGUUACGGCCCCUGAGGCGUGACUUAGGCACUUAAGCUGGAAUAAUUCGGGCGGUUCUGCCACAGCUGGUAUCGGAGCAAAUUCCACCACAGAGAAGGGCAAUAAACCAUGAAUACCAAUUUUCAAAAUCUAAAACUGCCUAGAAGCUUUACGGAUCGUCAGGACUAGACCGCUAGACCUAGGACGAAAGGCCUUAGGCAUAGAGGGAGAAAUAGGUGGCUAAUAAUUAGGCCCUGUGGGCCAAUACUUAUAUUUUAGGAUGCCCUAAAAAGGCACCCUAUUUCCUUUUGAGAGGCAACGUUUCUUUCCGCAUGCAUGCAUUAUAAAACAAAAGAGGAAUUAAAAUUGAGCUAACCCCUUUUCUUCGAAAUCAUCCGGGCUCUCUUUUUCUUUUCCUUCCACCAUAAUCUUUAUCUUUGAUUCCCUUCCGCAGAUGAAUUCACCCACCCCCGCCAGUGGAGGAGACUCUCGUUUCAGUUCUGACUUCCUUUCUCGCGAUGGCUUCCUUCCAUUUGUGGGAAGUGCUUAAUCCGCCGGUUACCCUACGCCCCCUUUGUACACGGUGCAGUUGUAUGAGGAGCAUCGGGUACCUCGUUGUCGGGUCUGGCUAACUUUGGAGGCUCAUCCCCUUCAGCGGGUUGGCGUUCUCUUGACUCUGAGACGAUUGGACUCAGGACGGACGACACCGUUGAGGCAGCAGCCAUGAAGACUCUGACGACUUUUGUGGCUACCAUCCCCUGGAGAUGGUGAUGCACCCCUUGGGACUCUUCCCGCUGAGAAGAAGGAUGAUCCCAUGUGGUGUAACCGCGUGAGCCAUGUGAAGGAUGUGUGGGCAAUGUAUCCUGACUUGGUUGGGAGGGUCACUGUUCAGUGCAUGAGUGCGCUGUACCGCCUUCAGGCCCUUCAGAGCGAUGCUAUGACACUUCUUGCUAACACCGCUCAGGCUGCCAAGCUCACUCUCGACAGUCGGGAAGAUUUUGUGGUCGACCUAUCCACAGAGUUGGUGGAAAAGGAUCUGCAGGUGGAGAGGCUGAGCCAGCGUAUCACCACCCUGGAGCAGCAAGUGGAGAUCCGAGAUAACACUAUUGAUGUCUUGGAGAACCAGCUUCACGACGUGCAGAGGGAACUUGAGGAAGCCAAUGACCACUUGGACAUGCACCACCUGGAGAUGGAGGCCAAUGAAGCAGGAAGCGAGGGAGAAGAGGCUCCCGAGGAGCUAGGACCAGCCCCUGGUGCCAAUGGGACUACCUCCGCGAUACCUCCUUCACCCGUAUCCAGUGUCGCUUCCACCGCUCAGGGUUAAGCAGUCGCUUUGACAUUUUUAUGCGGAUAGAAACCUAUGCGAGCUUAGUAGUAUCACAUUUUGGACUAGGCUUGUGGGUACCUUCCCCUGAUUAAUGUAACCCUGUAAACUUUUGAUAUCUGUGGGAUCCUUGUCACCCUGUUAUUUCAUUUCGAACCUAAUAUUAUGAUUAUGGCAUUUUCCUUCCAUAUGGAUGAUAUCUUGUCGUUCGGAAAUGUGAAUUGGGAUAAAAUGGCGACAAUCUCUGUUUUCAGAUGGCAGCGAGGCAGCGUCGCGGGCAAAAUGAGCAAGCUCCCCCGCCACCUCCUCCAGCUCCCACAGUGCAGGAGCUGAUGGCCAGCAGAAUGAAUUCUGCGACAGCUCUUGCAGCGCCAGCCCCACCCUCAGCAUCAUGGUGGAGGCCAGCAUCAGCGACCUCCGGCUAUGGCAACAUACCAGGAGUUUCUGAGCACGCAGCCGCCCUUGUUCACCAAGGCAGAGGAUCCGUUGGACGUCGACGUGUGGCUUCGCGUCGUCGAGUCCAAGUUUCCCCUCCUCACGGGAGACUGCCCUGAUGAGACCAAGGCUCGCUUCGCCGCACAGCAGCUUCGCGGCCCUGCUCGGACUUGGUGGGACCACUUCCGUGCUAUGCUCCCCGCUGAUCGUGAAGUAUCUUGGGAGGAAUUCAAGACUGCCUUCAGAGGACACCACAUUCCAGCUGGCAUUCUUGAUCGGAAGUUGAAUGUAUUCUGGCCCUUAAUCAAGGAACCCGCACGGUACUGCAGUAUGCGCAACCUUCAACGACUUAUGCCAGUAUGCAGGGUAUCAUGCUGAUUCUGAUGAAAAGAAGAGGGAUCGCUUCCGCAGGGGUCUCAAUACCAAGCUGCGGGAACGACUCAACACUGUCCGGGCUGAUAGCUUCAAUGAGUUGGUCAACAUGGCCAUCUCUCAGGAGGAUUGCAUUGUUGCUCACCGGGCAGAGAAGAAGAGGAAGGCACCAAUGGCAGCACCAUCCGCUCAGGCUCAGAGGUUCCGGAUUGUUUCUCACAAUCAGAGCAGGGGUUUUCAGCAGCAGGCAGGCAGAUGGGUGAUCAGGCCACCUCAGCAGCAGCAGCAGCCGGCACCCAACCGCUAUCCAGCUCCCGCCCCAAGAAACAAUCAGCCUCAGCAGCAGCAGCAGUUCCGCCAGGGCAAUGGGAACAAGUGUUUCACUUGUGGCAAUGUGGGCCACUAUGCCAAGAAUUGUCCCAGGAACCAGCAGAGGCAGAUGCCAGCACCAAAUCAAGACAAGGGAAGAAAGCAGAAGGUGCAAGUCAGGCAAGGGAAGCUCAACUUCACUGCUCUAGAGGAAGUGCCAGAAGGAGCUCCUAUCAUGACCGGUACCUUUUCAGUUUAUAAUCAACCUGCUUUAAUUCUGUUUGAUUCUGGUGCAUCUCAUAGUUUCAUUAGCCAAAAGUUCAGUGCUAAUUGCAAACUGCCAUUCUCUCACUCAAAAGGGUCAUUCAUGAUAGUCACACCUGGGGGUAAAAUUGCAACUAAUCAAUUAAACCAAAGUGUGCCUAUUCAACUGGGAAGCCACAUUGUCAAAACCACUCUUCUUGUGUUGGGAUUGGAAAAUGUGGACAUUAUUUUAGGAGCAAAUUGGAUGACCUUGCACCAAGUUGUGCUUGAUGUAGCCAGUCGUACCGUGGAAGUUAAUUCUCCUUUCUGCGGGAAUUUCACUUUGAUUCUGCCUAGUCAGGGUUCUUCUCAGUCAUGUGCUUUCUCUAUGACGGAGUUACCCCUGAAGAAGAUCCCAGUGGUCUGUGAGUAUGCAUAUGUCUUUCCUGAUGAAUUGCCAGGGAUGCCACCGGACCGGGAUAUUGAAUUCGCCAUCGAGUUGCAACCGGGAACGGCCCCAAUUUCCAAGAGGCCCUACCGAAUGCCACCCGCUGAGUUGGCAGAGUUGAAGAAGCAGUUGCAAGAGUUGCUGGACAAGGGAUUUAUUCGCCCAAGCACUUCGCCUUGGGGAUGUCCAGCGCUGUUUGUGAAGAAGAAGGAUGAAAGCUUGAGGCUGUGUAUAGAUUACCACCCUCUUAAUGCGGUAACUAUCAAGAACAAGUAUCCUUUGCCUCGUAUUGAUGUUCUCUUUGACCAGUUGGUCGGGGCUAAGGUGUUUUCCAAGAUAGACCUUCGCUCUGGCUACCACCAGAUCAAAAUACGAGCAAGUGAUAUUCCGAAGACGGCAUUCUCAACCAGAUAUGGGCUAUAUGAAUUCUUGGUAAUGUCAUUCGGGCUGACAAAUGCGCCAGCAUAUUUCAUGUAUCUGAUGAACUCUGUUUUCAUGCCGGAAUUGGACAAGUUCGUGGUGGUUUUCAUCGAUGAUAUUCUGGUGUACUCGAAGAACGAAGAAGAACAUGCCGGGCAUUUGCAUGUAGUGCUUCAACGUCUGCGAGAGCACCACCUUUAUGCCAAGUUAUCCAAGUGUGAUUUUUGGCUAAAGGAAAUCAAAUUCUUGGGUCACACUAUCUCUCAGGCUGGAAUAGUUGUUGAUCCUGAUAAAGUGCAAGAGGUGAUGAACUGGAGGCCACCAACGACUGUUCGCCAGAUUCGGAGUUUUCUGGGAUUGGCUGGUUAUUACCGAAGAUUUAUUCCGGACUUCUCUCGAAUUGCGAAGCCUAUUACUGAGUUGCUGAAGAAAGAGGUCAAGUUUGUGUGGAGUCAGAAGUGCGAAGAUGCCUUCCAUGCAUUAAGGCAGCAUCUGACCACAGCACCAGUAUUGGCGCAACCCGACAGCAGCAAGCCUUUUGAUGUGUAUUGCGAUGCCUCUGGCACCGGGCUAGGUUGUGUCUUGAUGCAAGACAACCGAGUCAUUGCUUAUGCCUCAAGAGCACUCAGGCCUCAUGAGCAAAAUUAUCCUACUCAUGACCUUGAGUUAGCAGCUGUGGUUCAUGCAUUGAAGAUGUGGAGGCACUAUCUAAUGGGAACCCACUGCAACAUCUUCACUGAUCAUAAGAGCCUUAAGUACAUUUUUACUCAGGCUGAUCUUAACAUGAGGCAGAGAAGAUGGCUAGAGCUGAUCAAGGAUUAUGACCUGGAGGUCCAUUAUCACCCAGGGAAAGCUAAUGUGGUAGCUGAUGCCUUGAGUCGGAAGUUGCAAUGCAACUGUAUUCUGAUGGAUUCUCAUGUUAACACCUUGUGUGAUGAGUUGAGCAAGAUGCAAAUUGAAGUGAUUCCUUCUGGUUCUUUGUCUCACAUUGCUGUUGAGCCAGCCUUGCAAGACCAGAUUAUCAUGGCCCAGCUCAGUGACAAGGGAGUGCAGAUUAUCAAGAAAAUCUCCAUCAGAAGGUUGAGAAGUAUAAUUGUUUCCGCCAGGAUGAAAAGGGUGUGUUAUGGUUCAAAAGCAGAUUGGUAAUUCCUAAGGACCAGGAUCUCAAGAAGAAAAUUUUGGAUGAGGCUCAUCUCUCCAAAUUCUCUAUGCAUCCGGGAAGCACCAAGAUGUACCAUGAUUUGAAGCUUUUGUACUGGUGGACCAGAAUGAAGAGGGAGAUAGCCCAGUAUGUAUCAGAGUGUGACACCUGUCAGAGGAUAAAGGCAAGCCACUUGAAGUCCGCUGGAGCUUUGCGACCACUGUCCGUACCUUCGUGGAAGUGGGACGACAUCAGCAUGGAUUUCAUUGUGGGUCUACCCAACACCUCUCGUCGUCAUGAUUCGAUUUGGGUUAUUGUGGACCGAUUGACGAAAGUGGCACAUUUUCUUCCUGUGCACACCACUGAUAAGGCUCAGAAGUAUGCAGAAUUGUAUAUUGACCGGAUCAUGUGUUUGCAUGGAUUACCUCGGACCAUUGUUUCUGACCAAGGAGCCCAAUUUGUUGCCAGAUUUUGGGAACAAUUGCAAGAGUCUUUGGGAACCAAGCUAAUCAGGAGUUCAGCUUACCACCCACAGACUGAUGGUCAGACGGAAAGGGUAAACCAGAUUCUGGAGGAUAUGCUGAGAGCUUGUGCGAUCGAUUGUGGCAAGAACUGGGAUAAGCACCUCUCCUUGGCAGAGUUUGCUUAUAACAAUAGUUAUCAAUCCAGCCUAAAGAUGGCACCUUUUGAAGCUCUCUAUGGAAGAAGGUGCAGGACACCACUCAAUUGGUCUCAGCCUGGUGAAAGAGAAGUUUUUGGACCUGAUUUGGUGACUGAAGCCGAAAGGAAGGUCAAGCUAAUCAGGAAGAAUCUAGAAGCUGCUCAGGCCAGACAGAAGAGCUAUCAUGAUAGAAGAAGGAAACCUCUCCAGUUCGAGGUGGGAAGUUUUGUAUACCUCAAGGUAUCACCCACCAAGGGAGUGCAGAGGUUUGGGAUCAAAGGCAAGCUAGCCCCUCGUUACAUUGGACCUUAUGAGAUCAUAGAAGCAUGUGGACCCGUGGCAUACAAGCUGAAGUUACCUUCAAAGAUGUCUGCCAUUCACAGUGUAUUCCAUGUAUCUCAGCUGAAGAAAUGUAUUCGAUUGCCGACUGAGAUCAUAGCAGAGCCAGAAUUGGAGAUAGAGCCAGAUCUCUCGUACCAAGAGUACCCCUCCAAGAUUCUGGAUUGCAAGGAAAGAUCAACUCGGGCUAAAUCGAUCAAGAUGUUCAAGGUCCAGUGGAGUAAUCACUCAGAGGAGGAAGCUACUUGGGAAACCGAGGAAUUCCUAAGAUCCAACUUCCCCGAUUGCCUACCUAAGGAAGCUGGUAUGUAAUCACCCCCAACCCCUCCUCCUGCCUUUCGAAUCUAAUUUCCAAAAAUAUGAUCUUAAUUCAGAAUGAAGUGACUAUAAAGUAAAACUUAAAGGGACUUCCUUCUGAAGUUGCAAAGAGAAUGACAUUCGAAGAGCAGUUUUGCCCUAAUAAUAACAAUCCCCACCCUUUUCCUAUCAGUCUCACCCUUCGCUUGACCUCGGAAGGACUCUGGCCCGAAUCUCGGGACGAGAUUCCUUUAAGGGGGGAAGGCUGUGACACCCCAGUGUCACCUAGGGUUUCUCUUGAAAAGCCCAACCAAAAACCAUCAUUUUAUGUAAAUCAAAGUAAGCAUGAGCAUCAAAAUAACUUAAGUAAGAAAGAGUUCACCAAGUAUAUGCUUAAAAGUGUCAUGAUCAAACAAUUGAGUCUCUUAAAGGAUAAGAAUGUGCAACCCUAAUUAAGAACCCUAAGUGAGCCCCAUGAGCAAAAUUCAAGAAAAUAAGAAAAAGGGGAUGAAAAGUUUAAAAUUUUGAGUUGAGCCAAUUAUAUAAGUUAAAGUAUAUUUGAUAAACAACAAGAAAGAUUGAGAGAGCUUAGCCAAAAUAAUUCAAGAAAACCCCCAAAUCAAGCUUCUUUUGUUGGGACUCAUUGGGAAUUCUGAAUUUCAGAAUUCUGAAAUUCAGACCUUGAGCCAAAGAUCAGGGAUGUUCACCUUGAUCCCUAACUCGAAUCCUAAUGGCCCCAUUGACAAAAUUGUGUCUAACUAACCCCUCUGUCGUGUGCCAGAAGAUGGCAUUGGGACGCGAGCCCUAGACACGACAAAACUUGGGAUUUGCCUCGGGUUUGGGCAGGGAGACAGACCAGAUUUCCUGGCUCCAUAUCUCUGCAACCAGUAGGCAAAAUCCUAUGACCUCCACACAAGAAUGGUAGCUUGUAGGGAGGAGAAGAGGUUUCGUGCACUGGCCAAGGCGAGAGCAGGCUCGGAUGAGCGACCACACGCGCCAGAGCUUGGGCAGAACGCACGGGCACACGUGUUCGACCCUGGUCGGCACGCCAGAGCUCGCCCAACCCGCGCGCGCGCUCGCCCCGGCGUCCGGUCAAGUCCGCCGCGCGCCCACGCCCUCGGCCGUGCCCGCCCGCGCCUAUAAAGCCUCCCCGGGCGCACCUCUCUUCGCCCCGCACUCACCCUCACCGGCCAGCCACCGUUCCUUAGCUCCGGCAAGCGUAUCUUCCACCCGCCAUUGCCGCCAGAGCUACGGCCGCCGUGGCCAGCCCACUCCAGCCACCCUCAAGCCCAACCAGUGCUUCGGCUAGCUCCGCCAGUAGCCCGUGAAGCUUGCCAAGCCCUCGGACCAGACCGGACUUCACCGGAGGCCCGAGAUCAACCUCACCGGACUUCGGUCUUCCGCCGCCGCGCGUGGACCGAGCUAUCCAGUGAGUCUCCGCCCGAUUCCUUUCACUCAUGUCUUCUCUGGCAACCCGUGGACCUCCCUGACCUAUUUAAUUGAACUACCUCGCCGUGACCAGGCCGGUCUCCUCGCCGCUGACGAGCAUCCCCGCCUGCGCGCGUGGACCGACCGACUCCGGCCAUCUCCGAUGGCGUUCCGCACACCGUUGUGAUCCCCGCGACCUCCCCUUCGUCCUCGACCACUUCACCGGAACAGUCUCGCCGCCGGUAAGCCCCUCCGCCCUUUUCUUCGCCGCGGCUACUGUUUGAGGUAGAAGAAGGACCUCGGGUUAGGUUCUGUAGAACCCGAGGGGUUUUCUGUAAUGUCAGCGACUCAUGUGAAUAGUAACCUAAGGACUGAUUCGCGAGGAAAACCUAGAAAAAACGCCAGGGACCCCAGUGCAAAGUGGAUUUCCAUUUAAUCAAUUCUGUUAUUCUUUUAAAAUAACCAGAGAACUUAGAAAAUCCAUAACUUGAUGAAAUCUUAAUGAAAAGCUGUCAAACCAAUUUUGCUAGCUCUGGAAUAUUAUGAUCUAUUAUUUAAAAAUAGUGAACCGUGUGCUUUCUGUUCUAAAUUUUAGAGUUUAAAAUUAAAAACAGAAACCCCCUAAACCUUGUUUAAUUAAGGAAAAUUAGUUUUUCUUUUGUGCUGAGCUUAAGAAAAUUUGUAGAUGCUUAUACCUUAAUUAUACACUGUUUAAAAAUAGUAGGAGCCCCAGCAUUAGAGAUUAUGAUGUAGUUAUUCAUUUAAAGCCAUUUUGUCCAAAACUUAGAGAAAAUCAGAAAAGCAUUAGAAAAUGUUGAACAGUGAUUAGUAAUAUUUUUCCUAGUUUACUUAUGCAACAAAGAACCUAGGAAAAAUGCAGAGACCAUUAAUUAGGACCAGUUUCUAAUUAAGAUGCUUUAAUUAGCCUUAUGAAGACUGAAAAUCAAUUAUUAGGAUUACAAAACUAUAACCAAAGUGGUUAACAAAAAUCCAGUGAACUCAUAACCACCAGAGCCCCACUACAAAAAUACAGAGCACCCCAGCCUAACUUUUUAAGUAAGGAAAAUAAAUACAAAGUGGUAAUAAGGCAUUUUCCCAAUAAAUCAUAAACAACCUCAAAUAAUGUGGCAUUGGGCAACCAAAAUUUGCUAAGUCCAUGAUGAGAUAAACCACCAGAGAAAAAUACAAACCCAUGAAAAAGAAGUGAACCCAUGCCUUUUGCUAGUAAUUUGUGAGAAAGGCCAUUUGACUUAAAUAAUGCAAACCACCCCUUCCCUUAAGCAAAAAGAAGCCAAACUUCAGAAUGAUUGCUCUUGCGCAAAAUACCAACUAAGAAGAAUAAGAACUCUGUUGUUUGAUGUUUUUCAAAUAUAGUGGUAGUAGAAAGCACCUAUUUGGCUAAAACUUGAGAAAACCAUAAGAAAAUAAUUAAAGGGUAUUAGUAACUAGAAAAUUGUAUCAAGUCAUGUUAUGACACCUAAAAGCCAGCAAAAAUAAGUUUUAAAGAAUUACCCACUGUUAAAUAAUAGUUGUAGUUCAAAGUACCCCUUCUGCCCUAAAAUUUGGUAAUUUUGUCCAGAGAAAACCAUUCACUUUCUGAACCCCAAAUUUUGUGACAGAGAAUCAUACACCAGUAACAAGCCACUGUAAUUUUUGCAGAAUUUUUAGAAUUUUAUAAAAGCAACUUGUAGUUCAAACCUACUCCAAAACAUUAAAGAGAAUAAAAGAAAAGAGAAGAAGGAAUAAACCUCAUCCCAUUAAAACUAACCCAAUUUACCAAGUAUACCACUAAAGGGUUUUACAUAAGCAAGGUUAACUUGUUUAAAUUCAAAAAAGACCAUACAUCUUUAAAGUUGUAAAUUCUAAAGCACAUAUCAUAUCAUGCAUGUAUCUUACGCAUUGCAUUCAUUAGAUUGUAAUCUUGCCGACGGAGAGUACGUGCUCAUCCCCGAGCAAGGACCUGUCCAAGAGGAGGACCAGGAGCAGGCUUCAAAGGCUGCUAUUGAGGAUCUCCCCGCAGCCCCAGCAAUUGAAGGCAAGCCCCGGUUUUAUGCAUAACCAUGUUAUUAUAUGCUACUUUACUACACUUAAUGCUUGUAGGAUUGCAAUGUGCACUUAAGUGUAGGAGUUGCUUGAAACCUCUAGUUGCAUGAACUUAGGAUUCCUUUUUGAGAUGAAUACUAGUAUGCUAGGUCGAGUAGCUGCUUGCUAAUCAGGAUCUCGGUAGAAGUCGAGUGAUUUUUCUAGCACUCGCGCGAGGUCAGGAAUUGAUUGUAUUCAUCUUGAUAAUGGGAUAUAUGUUGGUCCGUGGACUUGGAUCCAGGGAGGAUGCCUUGUCCAUGAGACGGGAAAAAUGAAUUAAGGAUUAAUGUGUGGAUACCUGAGUCAAGCUUUUGAACGUACUAAGCACAUGCCGGGAAAAAUGGUAACCGGUAAACCUAGUACCUGAGUGAAGCCGGGCGCGGACUUUAUCCCUCAUGCGACCUGAGACAGGGUCUCCCAUGCUAGCUAUGGUGGGUACAAGUGCGGUCACUGCACGGCGGCAGCCGAGGUCAGUGGAGCAUUGUAUGCCAAGGCGGUGAGGCCUGGACGCGAACGGGGAAUCGAUGGGGACGGUUGUCAUGUGUGGGGACGGAGUACCCUGACAUGCCGUGUGUUUAGGUUUACCUUGCAAGGUUUUAAAACUCGAUUCGAAUCGUCUGCUUCUCGCAGCUAAUGAGACUGCUUGAUUCCUUGUACUGCAUCGAGUAAGAAGUGAAAUGUGGAUUACAUGAGAUAACUUGUUGAUUGAGCUAAUUGCUUGUUACCAUGUAUGCUUAGAAGGAGCAAAUCUAGCUAAGUUAAUGAUGGUAGAACUUGAAAAGCUAAAAAUUGAUUUUAGAAACAGCUAGUGCUUUUGGCAAACCAAACCCCUCAGCCAAACAGCUGCAUAGUCUAGAGGUAGAGGAGUAGACUCCUCACACCGGUUAAGUCUAGCUGAGUAUUAGUAUACUCAGCCUUGCUUGUGGCACCAUUUUUGCAGGUACCAUGCAGGAUGUAGUUGAUGGUGUGACUUGGCCUACCACCCUGCCACCGGGUUGGACGGUCGAGUGGGAUGUUGCUCCGGCAGGAGAGGAGCAUGAGGAGUAGUGGGCUAGGCCUUGCCCAUUUCCUCAUUACCGAUGACAUCGAUUAUCCGUUGCACUUUAUUUUGUGAACUUUAUGGCUACUCAAGAACUCCGAUUUAUGUAAUAACUCAGCACUUAAUUUGAGGUUUCCUGUUUUAUUGUAUUUCUUCUGUGACUCACCUUCGAGUGAGAUUGUGGAAUUUGAUCCUGGUUAAGUGGCUCUAUCAGACUAGAUCUGAGGGACUGACGGGUUAUUCCGGUUUAAGUGCGUUACGGCCCCUGAGGCGUGACUUAGGCACUUAAGCUAGAAUAAUUCGGGUGGUUCUGCCACAGAGAUGCCCUGGCAUCAGGAUGACAUUGGCUUCCAAAGGGGAGACAAUGUCAAACUUAGUGCCCCUCCUAAAAGAUUGUCUAAUUUUGUUAAGGGCAAGGCUCCCAUGCCUCAGGAUAACGAGGGUUACAUUUUGUACCCUGCCGGUUAUCCCGAGAGCAAAAUUAGGAGGAUUCACUCUAGGAAGUCUCACUCUGGCCCUAACCAUGCUUUCAUGUAUAAGGGUGAGACAUCUAGUUCUAGGCAACCAACCCGUGCUAAGUUGCCUAAGAAGAGAAUUCCUUAUGCAUCAAAUGAUCAUGACAUUUCAUUCAAAACUUUUGAUGCAUCAUAUGUUUUAACUAACACAUCCAGCAAGGUAGUUGCCAAGUUUGUUGGGGGCAAGCACAAGGGGUCAAAGACUUGUGUUUGGGUACCCAAAGUUCUUGUUUCUAAUGCCAAAGGACCCAAAACCGUUUGGGUACCUAAAGUCAAGAACUAAACUUGUUUUGUAGGUUUAUGCAUCCGGGGGCUCAAGUUGGAUCAUCGAUAGCGGGUGCACAAACCACAUGACAGGGGAGAAGAAGAUGUUCUCCUCCUACGAUAAAAACCAAGAUCCCCAACGAGCGAUCACAUUCGGGGAUGGAAACCAAAGUUUGGUCAAAGGAUUGGGUAAAAUUGCUAUAUCUCCUGAUCAUUCUAUUUCCAAUGUUUUUCUUGUAGAUUCAUUAGAUUACAAUUUGCUUUCUGUAUCUCAAUUAUGCAAAAUGGGUUACAACUGUCUUUUCACUGAUGUAGGUGUCACUGUCUUUAGAAGGAGUGAUGAUUCAAUAGCUUUUAAAGGUGUGUUAGAGGGUCAGCUAUACUUAGUAGAUUUUGAUAGAGCUGAACUCGACACAUGCUUAAUUGCUAAGACUAACAUGGGUUGGCUCUGGCACCGCCGACUAGCUCAUGUUGGGAUGAAGAAUCUUCAUAAGCUUCUAAAGGGAGAGCACAUUUUAGGACUAAACAAUGUUCAUUUUGAGAAAGACAGGGUUUGUAGCGCAUGCCAAGCAGGAAAGCAAGUUGGUGCCCAUCAUCCACAUAAGAACAUCAUGACGACCGACAUGCCGCUUGAGUUACUCCACAUGGAUCUAUUCGGCCCGAUUGCUUACAUAAGCAUCGACGGGAGUAAGUAUUGUCUUGUAAUAGUGGAUGAUUAUUCUCGCUUCACUUGGGUGUUCUUUUUGCAGGAAAAAUCUCAAACCCAAGAGACCUUAAAGGGAUUCUUGAGACGGGCUCAAAAUGAGUUCGGCUUAAGGAUCAAGAAAAUUAGAAGCGACAACGGGACGAAGUUCAAGAACUCACAAAUUGAAGGCUUCCUUGAGGAGGAGGGCAUCAAGCAUGAGUUCUCUUCUCCCUACACGCCACAACAAAAUGGUGUAGUGGAGAGGAAGAAUCGAACUCUAUUGGACAUGGCAAGGACCAUGCUUGAUGAGUACAAGACACCGGAUCGGUUUUGGGCCGAGGCGGUUAACACCGCUUGCUACGCCAUCAACCAGUUAUAUCUACACCGAAUCCUCAAGAAGACAUCCUAUGAACUCCUAACCGGUAAAAAGCCCAAUAUUUCAUAUUUUAGAGUUUUUGGUAGCAAAUGCUUUAUUCUUAUCAAAAGAGGUAGAAAAUCUAAAUUUGCUCCUAAAACUGUAUAAGGCUUUUUACUAGGAUAUGAUUCAAACACAAGGGCAUAUAGAGUCUUUAACAAGUCCUCGGGACUAGUUGAAGUUUCUUGUGACGUUGUGUUUGAUGAAACUAACGGCUCUCAAGUAGAGCAAGUUGAUCUUGAUGAGAUAGGUGAUGAAGAGGCUCCGUGCAUCGCGCUAAGGAACAUGUCCAUUGGGGAUGUGUGUCCUAAGGAAUCCAAAGAGUCUCCAAAUGCACAAGAUCAACCAUCCUCCUCCAUGCAAGCAUCUCCACCAACUCAAAAUGAGGAUGAAGCUCAAGAUGAUGAAGUAGAAGAUCAAGCAAAUGAGCCACCUCAAGAUGAUGACAAUGAUCAAGGGGGAGAUGCAAAUGAUCAAAACAAGGAGGAUGAAGAACAAAGGCCGCCACACCCAAGAGUCCAUCAAGCAAUUCAACGAGAUCACCCCGUCGACACCAUUCUCGACGACAUUCAUAAGGGGGUAACCACGAGAUCUCGUGUUGCACAUUUUUGUGAGCAUUACUCUUUUGUUUCCUCUAUUGAGCCACACAGGGUAGAGGAAGCACUACAAGAUUCGGAUUGGGUGGUGGCGAUGCAAGAGGAGCUCAACAACUUCACUAGCAAUGAGGUAUGUCAUUUAGUUCCACGUCCUAAUCAAAAUGUUGUAGGAACCAAAUGGGUCUUCCGCAACAAGCAAGAUGAGCAUGGUGUGGUGACAAGGAACAAAGCUCGACUUGUGGCCAAAGGAUACUCCCAAGUCGAAGGUUUGGAUUUUGGUGAAACCUAUGCACCUGUAGCUAGGCUUGAGUCAAUUCGCAUAUUAUUAGCCUAUGCUACUUACCAUGGCUUUAAGUUUUAUCAAAUGGACGUGAAAAGUGCCUUCCUUAAUGGACCAAUCAAGGAAGAGGUCUAUGUUGAGCAGCCUCCCGACUUUGAAGAUAGUGAGUACCCUAACCAUGUCUAUAAACUCUCUAAGGCGCUUUAUGGGCUCAAGCAAGCCCCAAGAGCAUGGUAUGAAUGCCUUAGAGAUUUCCUUAUCACUAAUGGCUUCAAAGUUGGAAAGGCCGAUCCUACUCUAUUCACUAAAACUCUUGAAGAUGACUUGUUUGUAUGCCAAAUUUGUGUUGAUGAUAUUAUAUUUGGGUCUACUAACGAGUCUACAUGUGAAGAAUUUAGUAGGAUCAUGACACAAAAAUUCGAGAUGUCUAUGAUGGGGGAGUUGAAGUAUUUCUUAGGAUUUCAAGUAAAGCAACUUCAAGAGGGCACCUUCCUAAGCCAAACAAAGUAUACUCAAGAUAUUCUAAGCAAGUUUGGAAUGAAGGAUGCCAAACCCAUCAAGACACCCAUGGGAACCAAUGGGCAUCUCGACCUCGACGAAGGAGGUAAAUCCGUUGAUCAAAAGGUAUACCAGUCGAUGAUAGGAUCUUUACUCUAUUUAUGUGCAUCUCGACCGGAUAUUAUGCUUUCCGUAUGCAUGUGUGCAAGAUUCCAAGCCGACCCUAAGGAAGCUCACCUUAAGGCCGUAAAACAAAUCUUGAGAUAUUUAGUUUAUACUCCUAAGUUUGGGCUUUGGUAUCCUAGGGGAUCCACAUUUGAUUUGAUUGGUUAUUCGGAUGCCGAUUGGGCGGGGUGUAAAAUCAAUAGGAAGAGCACAUCGGGGACUUGCCAGUUCUUGGGAAGAUCCUUGGUGUCUUGGGCUUCAAAGAAGCAAAAUUCCGUUGCUCUUUCUACCGCCGAAGCCGAGUACAUUGCCGCAGGCCAUUGUUGCGCGCAACUACUUUGGAUGAGGCAAACCCUUUGGGACUACGGUUACAAAUUGACCAAAGUUCCUCUUCUAUGUGAUAAUGAGAGUGCAAUCCGCAUGGCGGAUAAUCCUGUUGAGCAUAGCCGCACUAAACACAUAGCCAUUCGGUAUCACUUUUUAAGGGAUCACCAACAAAAGGGAGAUAUCGAGAUUUCAUAUAUUAACACUAAAGAUCAAUUGGCCGAUAUCUUUACCAAGCCUCUUGAUGAACAAACUUUUAACAAACUUAGGCAUGAGCUAAAUAUUCUUGAUUCUAGGAACUUCUUUUGUUGAUUUGCACACAUAGCUAAUUUAUAUACCUAUUGAUCAUGUAUCUUUCAUAUGCUAUGACUAAUAUGUUUUCAAGUCUAUUUCAAACCAAGUCAUAGGUAUAUUGAAAGGGAAUUGGAGUCUUCGGCGAAGACAAAGGCUUUCACUCCGUAACUCAUCCUUCGCCGUCGCUCCGGGCAACGCUCCAUCUUUGAGGGGGAGAGCAUAAGUCCCAAGCAAAAGGACUCCGCCUCUGGUAUAAUCUUCACUCAUUUAUUUAUGAUCAAAGGGGGAGAAAGUAAUUCUAAGGGCUCUAAUGACUCCGAUUUUGGCGAUUCAUGCCAAAGGGGAGAAAGUAUUAGCCCAAAGCAAAAGGACCGCACCACCACCUAAUUUUAAAAGCGUUUGUCAAUUGGUAUGAUUCUCAAUUGAUAAAUUUGUAAUUGGAAUCAUAUUGUGUUCAAAAGGGGGAGAUAGUAGAAUUUUCAAAAUUGAUAUCUUAAAACCCUCUUGAACACUAAGAGGAGAAUUUCAUUUAGGGGGAGUUUUGUUUAGUCAAAGGAAAGCAUUUGAAACAAGAGGAGAAAAUUUUAAAUCUUGACAAUGCUUCGAAAAAUCUUAUUUAUUUACCUUUGACUAUUUGCAAAAGAAUUUUGAAAAAGAUUUACAAAAGAAAUUGCAAAAACAAAACAUGUGGUGCAAGCGUGGUCCAAAAUAUUAAGAAUGAAAGAAACAAUCCAUGCAUAUAUUAUAAAUAUUUAUAUGGGCUCAAUUCCAAGCAACCUUUGCACUUACAUCAUGCAAACUAGUUCAAUUAUACACUUCUAUAUUUGCUUUGGUUUGUGUUGGCAUCAAUCACCAAAAAGGGGGAGAUUGAAAGGGAAUUAGGCUUACACCUAUUUCCUAAUUGUUUUUGGUGGUUGAAUUUCCCAACACAAAUAAAUUGGACUAACUAGUUUGCUCUAGUGUAUAAGUUAUACAGGUGCCAAAGGUUCACACUUAGCCAAUAAAAAGAUCAAGUAUUGGGUUCAACAAAAGAGCAAAGGGUCAACCGAAGGCACCUCUGGUCUGGCGCACCGGACUGUCCGGUGUGCCACCGGACAGUGUCCAGUGCACCACCGGACAGUGUCCGGUGCACCAGAGGACUCCAACUCAAACUCGUCACCUUCGAAAAAAUCCAGAGGCGCUCCGCUAUAAUUCACCGGACUGUCCGGUGUACACCGGACUAUCCGGUGUACACCGGACAGUGUCCGGUGCUCCAAGGAACAUCGCCUCAGGAACUCGCCAGCUUCGGGAAUUCGCAACGGCUAGUCCACUAUAAUUCACCGGACAUGUCCGGUGUGACAACAGAGCAACUGAUAUUUCGGCGCCAACGGCUACCUGCAGCGCAUUGAAUGCGCGCCAGCGGGCGCAGAAGUCAGGCACGCCCAUACUGGCGCACCGGACACUCUACAGUACAUGUCCGGUGCGCCACCGGACAUCCAGGCGAGCCCAGAAGACAGAGCUCCAACGGUCGGAACCCAAUGGCUUUGGUGACGUGGCUGGCGCACCAGACAUGUCCGGUGUGCACCAGACUGUCCGGUGCACCAUACGACAGUCAGCCCCACCAAACGGCUAGUUUGGUGGUUGGGGCUAUAAAUACCCCCAACCACCCACCAUUCAUUGCAUCCAAGUUUUCAUACUUCCAACCACUUACAAGAGCUAGGCAUUCAAUUCUAGACACACUCAAGAGAUCAAAUCCUCUCCCAAAUUCCACACAAAGCUUUAGUGACUAGUGAGAGAGAUUUGCUUGUGUUCUUUCGAGCUCUUGCGCUUGGAUUGCUUUCUUCUUUCUUGAUUCCUUAUUGCGAUCAAACUCACUUGUAACUGAGGCAAGAGACACCAAUCUUGUGGUGGUCCUUGUAGGAACUUUGUGUUCCAAGUGAUUGAGAAGAGAAAGCUCACUCGAUCCGAGGGAUCGUUUGAGAGAGGGAAACGGUUGAAAGAGACCCGGUCUUUGUGACCACCUCAACGGGGAGUAGGUUUGCGAGAACCGAACCUCGGUAAAACAAAUCCUUGUGUCUCACUGCUUUACUCGCUUGCGAUUUGUUUUUACGCCCUCUCGCGGACUCGUUUAUAUUUCUAACGCUAACCCGGCUUGUAGUUGUGAUUAUUUUUGAGAAUUUCAGUUUCGCCCUAUUCACCCCCCUCUAGGCGACUAUCAACCUCGGAGGAGCCUCCGCCUCGCCCGACCUAGGGCUCGGACCGACCACGUCACAGGGGGGGCCAUCAUUACCCUACCCCUAGCUAGCUUAGGCUACAGGGAACAAGACCGGCGUCCCAUCUGGCUCGCCCCGGUAGACAAAUAAUGAUGGCGCCCCGCGUGCUCCAUGAUGACGGCGACUCUUAGCCCCUUACGGAAGCAAGGAGACGUCAGCAAGGAUUCGACAGCCCCGACAACUGUCCUUCCACAGGGCCCAAGCGCUCCUCCGACGGCCACGACAUCACAUGAACAGGGUGCCAAAACCUCUCCGACUGCCACGACGACAUGUACUUAGGGCUCUAGCUCCUCUCUGCGAGACAUGUUAGCACACUGCUACACCCCCCAUUGUACACCUGGACCCUCUCCUUACGCCUAUAAAAGGAAGGUCCAGGGCUCUCGUACGAGAAGGUUGGCCACACGGGAGAACGGGCCGACGCAUAAGGCUCUCGCUCUCUCUCGCUCUCUCCCACGCGAACGCUUGUAACCCCCUACUGCAAGCGCAUCCAUCCACCCUGGGCGCAGGACAACACGAAGGCCGCGGGUUCCCCUUACUGUUCUCCCCCUUUUGUGUCCCAUCUCGCGCCGACCCAUCUGGGCUGGGACACGUAGCGACAAUUUACUCGUCGGUCCAGGGACCCCCGGGGUCAAAACGCCGACAGUUGGCGUGCCAGGUAGGGGCCUACUGCGUGUUGACGAACAGCUUCCCGUCAAGCUCCAGAUGGGUAGUCUCCAGCAACCUUUCCAACCCGGGACGAUGCUCCGUUUCGGGAGUCUUGAGUUCAUGUCCCUCGACGGCAGCUAUGACAUGAUACUCCUUCCUCCGCCGCGCGACAGCGACAAUGGUGGCCGUCAGCCCGCCCGCCGGCGGCGGAAUCAACGACGUCUUCCCCACAUGGCGGAAGGACAACAUCCGGGUUUGUCCCGUCACCUCCCCCACCGACGGAGGAGGAGGCGGGGCAACCAUGGCCAAGCAGGAGGCAGCACCUCAUCGGCUGUCGAGCAAGUCGACGACGCCGGCGCCCCAGCGGGGGACACGUCGGACUUCGACCUUGCGUCUGAGACGAAGACGAGUGCCGUUUCCCCGCAACAUGCCAACCCCAAGCAGACGAACGACGCCAGCACGCUCGCGAAGGACUUGCUUUGCGUCGCCCUCGUACCUGAGACAAUGGUGCAGUCCACCCCUGACGCGACUUCGUCACCGCCCGUCGACCAAGAGGUACCGACCGAUUCCCAUCUCGUGCCUUUUGGAUUCAGCUUCGACCCACCAAGCAACCUCGCUUCGGUGGAAGCCUUCAUAGAGGCAUGUACCAACCCUCCAGGGCACCAUAUGCGAUCGCCCUGGGACAGACUGACGGCCGUCUCGACCUACGGACCCUCGGGUUCCGAGGAAGAUGACGAGACCGACUUUUGUUGGGAUUUCUCCGGGCUCGGUAACCCCAGGGCCAUGCGGGACUUCAUGACUGCAUGUGACACUGCCUCUCCGAUUGUUCCGAUGGUAGCCGCAGCUUCGGCGACGAGGACUGCAGCCCAAGUCGUGAAUGUUUCCACGUCGAUCUAGGGGGUCCCGGCGAAGGCAACCAUCUUGGUAUGCCGGAAAACGGCGAUCCCCCUAGGCCUACGCCUCGCGUUGACAUCCUUCGGGAGCUAGCUGUGGUCCCAGUCCCUGCGGGGGGUCAGGACGCACAGCUCGAGCAAAUCCGCGAGAUGCAGGCCAGGCUCGACGAGGGAGCAGGAACACUUGAGCAGUUCCGGCGGAACAUCGAGCAGGAAUGGGCAGACCAAGCUCCGACCGGAGAAGCGCGUCAUCUACCCCAGGGCAUCCAGCACCGCAUUGCCGACGACAUCAGGGCAAGGCCGCCACCGGCUUCCAGUGGGGUCGGCCAGAACCUGGCUGCAGCAGCAAUACUACUCCGCGCGAUGCCGGAACCAUCGACCACCGAAGGGCGGCGUAUCCAGGGAGAGCUCAAGAAUCUCCUGGAGGAUGCCGCAGUCCGACGGGCCGAAAGCUCUGCCUCCCGAAGGCAGGGGUACCCCUCGAAGCAUCGUGCCGCGACUUCCCGAUUCAUGCGGGAAGCCUCGAUCCACACCGGGCACACGUGGAACACCGCGCCUGCGGCCCCGGGUCGCCUCGGCAACGAGCACCACCACCACAACCGUCGAGCCCACCUCGACGAGAGGGUGCGCCGAGGCUACCACCCCAGGCGUGGGGGACGCUAUGACAACGGGUGGAUCGGAGACCCUCGCCCGAACCACCCGGUCCGCAGGCUUUCAGCCGGGCCAUACGACGGGCGCCGUUCCCGACCCGGUUCCGAACCUCGACUACCAUCACAAAGUACUCAGGGGAGACGAGGCCAGAACUGUGGCUCGCGGACUACCGACUGGCUGGCCAGCUGGGUGGAACGGACGAUGACAACCUCAUCAUCCGCAACCUCCCCCUGUUCCUCUCCGACACCGCUCGAGCCUGGCUGGAACAUCUGCCUCCGGGGCAGAUCUCCAACUGGGACGACCUGGUCCAAGCCUUCGCCGGCAACUUUCAGGGCACGUACGUGCGCCCUGGGAACUCCUGGGAUCUCCGAAGCUGCCACCAGCAGCCGGGAGAGUCUCUCCGGGACUACAUCCGGCGAUUCUCGAAGCAGCGCACCGAGCUGCCCAACGUCACCGACUCGGACGUCAUCGGCGCGUUCCUCGCUGGCACCACCUGCCGCGACCUGGUGAGCAAGCUGGGUCGCAAGACCCCCACCAGGGCGAGCGAGCUGAUGGACAUCGCCACCAAGUUCGCCUCUGGCCAGGAGGCGGUUGAGGCCAUCUUCCGGAAGGACAAGCAGCCCCAGGGCUGCCAGCCGGAAGACGUCCCCGAGGCGUCCAUUCAGCGCGGCACCAAGAAGAAGAACAAGAAGAAGUCGCAAGCGAAACGCGACGCCACCGACGCGGACCUUGUCGCCGCCGUCGAGUACAAGAACCCUCAGAAACCUCCUAGAGGUGCCAAUCUCUUCGAUAAGAUGCUCAAGGAGCCGUGCCCCUAUCAUCAGGGGUACGUCAAGCACACCCUUGAGGAGUGCGUCAUGCUUCGGCGCCACUUUCACAAGGCCAGGCCACCAGCGGAAGGUGGCAGGGCCCACAACAACGACAAGAAGGAGGAUCACAAGGCAGAGGAGUUCCCCGAGGUCCACGACUGCUUCAUGAUCUACGGUGGGCAAAUGGCGAACGCCUCGGCUCGGCACCGCAAGCAAGAGCGUCGGGAGGUCUGCUCGGUAAAGGUGGCGACGCCAGUCUACCUAGACUGGUCCGACAAGCCCAUCACCUUCGACCAGGGCGACCACCCCGACCGCGUGCCGAGCCCGGGGAAAUAUCCGCUCGUUGUCGACCCUGUCAUCGGCAACGUCAGGCUCACCAAGGUCCUCAUGGACGGAGGCAGCAGCCUCAACAUCAUCUACGCCGAGACCCUCGGGCUCCUGCAGAUCGAUCUGUCCUCGAUCCGGACAGACGCGGCACCUUUUCACGGGAUCAUCCCCGGGAAACGCGUCCAACCCCUCGGACAACUCGAUCUGCCCGUCUGCUUCGGGACUCCCUCCAACUUCCGAAGGGAAACCCUCACGUUCGAGGUGGUCAGGUUCCGAGGAACCUACCACGCAGUACUGGGGAGGCCAUGCUACGCCAAGUUCAUGGCCGUCCCCAACUACACCUACCUCAAGCUCAAAAUGUUGGGCCCCAACGAGGUCAUCAUCGUCGGCCCCACGUACCGACACGCGUACGAAUGCGACGUGGAGUGUGUGGAGUACGCCGAGGCCCUCGCCGAAUCCGAGGCCCUCAUCGCCGACCUGGAGAGCCUCUCCAAGGAGGCGCCAGAUGUGAAGCGCCACGCCGGCAACUUCGAGCCAGCUGAGACGGUCAAAUCCGUCCCUCUUGACCCCAGCAACGACGCCUCCAAGCAGAUGCAGAUCGGCUCCGAGCUCGACCCCAAAUCGGAAGCAGUGCUCGUCGACUUUCUCCGCGCGAAUGCCGAAGUCUUUGCGCAGAGUCCCUCGGACAUGCCUGGCAUACCGAGGGAUGUCGCCGAGCACUCGCUGGAUAUCCGAGCAGGAGCCCGACCCGUGAAGCAGCCUCUAUGCCGAUUCGACAAAGAAAAAUGUAGAGCCAUAGGCGAGGAGAUCCACAAGCUGAUGGCCGCAGGGUUCAUCAAAGAGGUAUUCCAUCCCGAAUGGCUUGCCAACCCUGUGCUUGUGAGAAAGAAAGGAGGGAAAUGGCGGAUGUGUGUAGACUACACUGGUCUAAACAAAGCAUGUCCAAAGGUUCCCUACCCUCUGCCUCGCAUCGAUCAAAUCGUGGAUUCCACUGCUGGGUGCGAAACCCUGUCAUUCCUCGACGCCUACUCAGGGUAUCACCAAAUCAAGAUGAAAGAGUCCGACCAGCUCGCGACUUCUUUCAUCACACCAUUUGGCAUGUACUGCUACGUUACUAUGCCAUUUGGUUUGAGGAAUGCGGGUGCGACAUACCAAAGGUGCAUGAACCACGUGUUUGGCGAACACAUUGGUCGAACGGUCGAGGCUUACGUCGAUGACAUCGUAGUCAAGACGAGGAAAGCCUUCGACCACCUCUCCGACCUUGAAACGACAUUCCGGUGUCUCAAGGCGAAGGGCGUAAAACUCAAUCCCGAGAAGUGCGUCUUCGGAGUCCCCUGAGGCAUGCUCUUGGGGUUCAUCGUCUCUGAGCGGGGCGUCGAGGCCAACCUGGAGAAAAUCACGGCCAUCACCAACAUGGGGCCCAUCAAGGACUUGAAAGGCGUACAGAGGGUCAUGGGAUGCCUUGCGGCUCUGAGCCGCUUCAUCUCGCGCCUCGGCGAAAGAGGCCUACCUCUAUACCGCCUCUUAAGGAAGAUCGAGUGCUUCACUUGGACCCCCAAGGCCGAGGAAGCCCUCGAGAACCUGAAGGCGCUCCUUACGAACGCACCCAUCCUGGUGUCUCCCGCUGCCGGAGAAGCCCUCUUGAUCUACGUCACCGCUACCACUCAGGUGGUCAGCGCCGCGAUCAUGGUCAAAAGACGAGAAGAAGGGCAUGCAUUGCCCGUCCAGAGGCCGGUCUACUUCAUCAGUGAGGUACUGUCCGAGACCAAGAUCCGCUACCCACAAAUUCAGAAGCUGCUGUACGCGGUGAUUCUGACGCGGCGGAAGUUGCGACACUACUUCAAGUCUCAUCUGGUGACUGUGGUGUCAUCCUUCCCCCUGGAGGAGAUCAUCCAGUGCCGAGAGGCCUCGGGUAGGAUUGCAAAGUGGGCGGUGGAAAUCAUGGGCGAGACAAUCUCGUUCGCCCCUCGGAAGGCCAUCAAGUCCCAAGUCUUGGCGGACUUUGUGGCUGAAUGGGUCGACACCCAGCUUCCGGCAGCUUCGAUCCAACCGGAACUCUGGACCAUGUUUUUCGACGGGUCGCUGAUGAAAACAGGGGCAGGCGCGGGCCUGCUCUUCAUCUCGCCCCUCGGGAAGCACCUCCGCUACGUGCUGCGCCUCCAUUUCCCGGCGUCCAACAACGUGGCUGAGUACGAGGCUCUGGUCAACGGGUUGCGCAUCGCCAUCGAGCUAGGGGUUCGACGCCUUGACGCUCGCGGUGACUCGCAGCUUGUCAUCGACCAAGUCAUGAAGAACUCCCACUGCCGUGACCCGAAGAUGGAAGCCUACUGCGACGAGGUUCGGCGCCUGGAGGACAAGUUCUAUGGGCUCGAGGUCAACCACGUCGCCCCGCGGUACAACGAGAUUGCGGACGAGCUGGCGAAGAUAGCUUCGGCACGAACAACGGUUCCCCCGAACGUCUUCUCCUGGGACCUACAUCAACCCUCAGUCAAGACAAACUACAUGCCCGAGCCCGAGAAGGCCUCGGCCCGGCCCGAGGCACCCUCGGCCCCGCCCGAGGCACCCUCGGCUACCGAGGGUGAGGCUCUGCGCAUCGAGGAAGAGCGGAAUGGGGUCACGCCUAAUCGAAACUAGCAGACCCCGUACCUGCAAUAUCUCCACCGAGGAGAGCUACCCCUCGACAGAGCCGAAGCUCGGCGACUGGCGCGGCGCGCCAAGUCAUUCAUCUUGAUGGGUGACGGGAAGGAGCUCUACCACCGCAGCCCCUCCGGCAUCCUCCAGCGAUGCAUAUCCAUCGCCGAAGGCCAGGAGCUCUUACAAGAAAUACACUCGGGGGCUUGCGGUCAUCACGCAGCGCCUCGAGCCCUUGUUGGAAACGCUUUCCGAUAAGGUUUCUACUGGCCGACCGCGGUAGCCGACACCACUAGAAUUGUCCACACCUGCCAAGGGUGUCAAUUCUAUGCAAGGCAGACGCACCUACCCGCUCAGGCUCUGCAAACAAUACCCAUCACCUGGCCGUUUGCUGUGUGGGGUCUGGACCUCGUUGGUCCCUUGCAGAAGGCACCCGGGGGCUACACGCACCUGCUGGUCGCCAUCGACAAAUUCUCCAAGUGGAUCGAGGUUCGACCCCUAAACAGCAUCAGGUCCGAACAGGCGGUGGCGUUCUUCACCAACAUCAUCCAUCGCUUUGGGGUCCCGAACUCCAUCAUCACCGACAACGACACCCAGUUCACCGACAGAAAGUUCCUGGACUUCUGCGAGGAUCACCACAUCCGGGUGGACUGGGCCGCCGUGGUUCACCCCUUGACGAAUGGGCAGGUAGAACGUGCUAACGGCAUGAUUCUGCAAGGACUCAAGCCGAGGAUCUACAAUGACCUCCACAAGUUCGGCAGGCGAUGGAUGAAGGAACUCCCCUUGGUGGUCUGGAGCUUGAGGACGACGCCAAGUCGAGCCACGGGUUUCACGCCGUUCUUUCUAGUCUAUGGAGCCGAGGCCAUCUUGCCCACUGACUUAGAAUACGGUUCCCCAAGGACGAGGGCCUACGACGACCGACGCAACCAGACCAACCCAGAAGACUCACUGGACCAGCUGGAAGAGGCUCGGGACAUGGCCUUACUACACUCGGUGCAGUAUCAGGAGUCCCUGCGACGCUACCACGCCCGAGGGGUUCGGUCCCGAGACCUCCAGGUGGGCGACUUGGUGCUUCGGCUGCGACAAGACGCCCGAGGGCGCCACAAGCUCAUGCCUCCCUGGGAAGGGCCAUUCAUCAUCGCCAAGAUUUUGAAGCCUAGAACAUACAAGCUGGCCAACAGUCAAGGCGAGGUCUACAGCAACGCUUGGAACAUCCGACAGCUACGUCGCUUCUACCCUUAAGAUGUUUUCAAGUCGUUCAUACACCUCGUUUACAUACGCCAAUAAAGCCUAACCAUCAAGGAAGGGUCAACCUUGCCUCGGCAAAGCCCGACCCUCCCUCGGGGGCUAGAAGGGGGAACCCCCUCUGCGUCAAAUUUUUCCUCGGAAAAAGUCUUUCUGCCAGAAUAUCUUUCGUGCUUUUCGACUACUUCAGUAGUGGGAUCAUGAAAACGACGGAGUACACGUAAGCAGGCAAGGCCGACCGAGCCGAGGGACUCCUACGCCUCCGGGAUACGGAUACCUCACUCAUCGCCUUCUGCGAGAAGUAACUCGCGUUCGGAUGAGCGAUCCUGCUGACCGAACAAGCCUUAACACUCAAAAAACUUUCUGCCGAAACGGUUUUUUGGGUUUUCUCGGCUACGUCGAUAAUAGAAUCCCGCGGACGAGCAAGAGUACACGUAAGCGGCAAGGCCGACCGAGCCGAGGGAUUCCUACGCCUCCGGGAUACGGAUACCUCACUCAUCACCUUCCGUGAGAAGUAACUCUAGCUCGGAUAAACGAUUCUGCUACCGACGAGCAAGCCCUGAUACUCGAAACAAGAGGAAAAGAAACGCAGCUUUACAACGCGACGACAAUAUGUUUGGGCCUCGACGGCCGCAAAAAACAUACGCACACUACAGAUAAACUGUUCCUGCAGGAUCAGACAUCAGCAGGGGAGCAGCAGCACCCUCGGCGUCAACUCCACCUUCGGCGAAGUCCGACCAAGCCUCGGACGGCAACACGGGCGAAGGAUCUCUGCUCCGAAGGACGACGUCAGCACCACGCUCGGGCCAUCGCCGCUAGGGUCUCCUCCAGGAACCCGGCCCGAGCAGACGGCUCGGCCGGCCGGCCCGAAGCCUUAGCCAGCUGUCCCCCGAGGACACCAGCCCGACUCAUGGCCUCGACAACCCGACCCCGGCACUGGUCCCGCCAGUGAACGGCCCGGCCAGGCUCCGGCCGACGAAGUCUAUUUUUCGAGCCAACUCUGCCUCUGUCCAUGCUGACACCGUUGCCUCCGGCCCCGGCUCAUCGCAGAGCGGCCGAGGGUUUCUUUGACUAAGCAAGUGAAGCCUCGGGCGUCAAGGCCGACCGAGCCGAGGGAUUCCUACGCCUUCGGGAUACGGAUACCUCACUCGUCACCUUCCGCACAGAGCAACUCACAUUUGGUUAAGCGGUUCGGCUAGCCGACAGGCGAGUUCCAGUGCUCGAGAAUGAGGAAAAAACACGGUAUUACACCCAAAAAUACCUACAUGUUCAGGCCCCGACAGCCACAAUGAACAAACACCGGCACUCAAGGUGCCAUUACAAACGGAACUCCGGUUCCACUCCCGCAGGUAUGAACAACCCCCCACAUUGGAGGGCCUGCGGGGCGACGAAACCCCUGGUGGCUCGCCGACGCCUGCUCCGGCAGCAGCAACAACGACCUCUGCUCCGAGUGGCCAAACAACAACAGUGAUGACCUCAGGGCGGACGCUGCUGCGACGAGCUCCUCGCCCACGUCCCCACUCGAGGGGCGAGGACAAGCUAUCAAAGCCAAAGAGCCAGAGGCCCGGAGCGCGGAUGGUGGCAGCGAUCUCGUCGGCAACGAGGACUUCUUCAGCUGCCACCACCUCAACAUCGACGACGGCAGCCAUCUGUCCACCGGUAGAUCCCCACUCGGAUCCUCCCGGACAGGCGAGCACCGACCUCCGCGCAAGAGGCGUCGUACCGAAGCAAAGGCAGGACAACCCAAGAACACGAACGCCGCCCUAGCAGCGCGCGACGUCUUGGGCGGCCCUCCGGUGCGUGCGGCGCGGCGACCGCUCGUACGGCGGGAGGGGGCACCGGGAGCCGAGCUAGAGCCAGCUGAGCCAGCGAGCCCAGCUGUGGCGGAACCGCCCGAAUUAUUCCAGCUUAAGUGCCCAAGUCGCACCCUUAAGGGCAGCAACACACUUAAACAGGAAUAACACGUCAGUCCCUCGGAUCUAGUCCGAUAAAGCCACUUACCAGGAUCGAAUACCACUAGCUCACUCGAAGGUGAGGCACAGAGAAAUACAAUAAAACAUAAUACCACAAAUUUAAUAAGUAUAAUCAGUGAUUACAUUAUCGGAGUUUCAGAAAUAAUAACCAUAAAUUUUAAUGCAGCGGAAAUAACUAACGGAGAAAACCGAGUAACAUGGCGAAGCCUGGCCACGCUACUCCUCCUGGUCCUCUCCUGCGGAAGCAGUAACCCACUCGACCAUCUAUCCCGGUGGCAGGGAUGGAGGCCAAGACACACCAUCAACCAAUCAACCUAAGAAGUACCUGCAAAAAUUAUGCCACAAGCAAGGCUGAGUAUACUAAUACUCAGCUAGACUUACCCGGUGUGAGGAGUCUACUCCUCUACCUCUAGACAUGCAGCUGUUUGGCUGAGGGGUUUGGUUUGCCAAAAGCGCUAGCUGAGUCUAAAAUCAAGUUUUAGCUUUUCAAGUUUUAGUAAGAUCCUUUUUAAACUAGAUGAGUACCUAGCUACUCAUACAUGGUAUCAAACAUUUUUAACAAUCAACAUGUUUUGCCAAGUCAACACAUUUCCACUUGUUACUCAAUGUAGCAGCAUGGAUCAAGCAGUCUCAUUAGCUGCGAGAAACAGACGAUUCGAAUCGAGUUUUUAUCCUUGCAAGGUAAACCUAAACACACGACGUGUAGGGGCACUCCGUCCCCACACACAUCAACCGUCCCCAUCGAUUCCCCGUCAGCAGAUCAGGGCUCACCGCCUUGGCGUACAAUGCCUCACUGACCCCGACUGCCGUCGUGCAGUGACCGCACUUGUACCCACCAUAACCGGAAUGGGAGACCACGUCUUAGGUCGCGUGAGGGGAUAUGUCCACUGCCAGGUUCACUCAGGUACUAGGCUUACCGAUUUACCAUAUUUCUCGGCAUAUGUUUAGUACGUUCAAACGCUUGACUCACGGUACCACACCUUAAUCCUUAUUCCAAUUUCCGUCUCGUAGACAACGCAUCCCCAUGGACCGUUGUCCACAGACCACCAUCAUUAUGAUAUCAAAAUGGAUACAACCAAUUCCUGACCUCGCGCGAGUGCUAGAAAAAUCACUCGACUUCUACCGAGAUCCCUAAUUAAUAAAGCAGCUACUCGACUUAGCAUACUAGUAUCCAUCUCAAAGGGAAUCCUAAGUUCAUGCAACUAAGGUUCCAAACAACUCCUACACUUAAGUGCACAGUACAAGCCUACAAACAUUAAGUGCAGUAAAAUAGUAUAUAUAAACGGUUAUGCAUAAAACCGGGGCUUGCCUUUAAUUUAACACUUAGAUUGUGUUUGCUGGGGUGGCACUCGCUUGGCGAGCAUCCACUAGUCAAGUCCAUCAUUCUUCAGGUCGUCCACCAACUGCAUCUUGUGGUUGGCACCACAUCACUUGCACGAUCGUCAUCUCUCGGUCCUAAAUGAGAUGCAAGAUGCAUAUGUAUGAAUAUACUGAAAGUAGCACAAAAGUAGCACAAGAUAUACAAAGACACAGUGGCGAACUAAACAUUAAUUUGGAAGACACCGUAGACAACCAUACGCUAGCAUUCGUUAUCUACACGUUAUCGGCGUCCAACAUUAACACCUUUAAAAAGACAACACCAUUUUAUUUAUUUACGCACACAACUACGACAUCACAAGUAACCACAUUUACCACGUUCACUUUACUCAUCCAUUAGUUACUUAAUCAUCAAGUUAGUUAAGUACCUAAGUUUGCUACGACUGAUAUGUAGAUAGACUUAGUUGAAAAGGAAUUAGACACUUAAUUUGUGCUUUACAAUUAUUUACUAGGCAAACACUUAUUAGACCUUAACCAAUUUAGUUUACUAAUUUAGCGAGACGUGUACUAAUUACCUAUAUACUUAGGCUCAAUUAUGUUAGUUAUAUUAUCAUUACUGUGUGUUCAACCAAAACCAAAACGAGAAAACAGUCGACUCAAGAAAUACACCACAGAGUAGAGCAAUCCACCAAACAUAAGAAAAUUAGGACAGCAGCACAGUAGCUACUUGUUUCAUUCAUAACUCUUCAAAUAUUAAUCCAAACAUAGCAAACUAGGACUUUCUGGAAAGCUUAAAAUGUGCUCUACAACUUUGGUAUUUUCACCUAAACAAGAUUCAACACUUAGCAAGGUUAAAAGUGCUAACACAAUAGAUCUGUCCAGAUUUGGACAGAUUCAGACUUGCAACUUCAAAAAUUCACAACCACAGAUUCAGACAUCCAAACAAAGUGAUCCUAGACUUUCUGGAAAGCUAAUUAAAUUUUCUACAUAUCAUUUAUAAACAUCUCAAGGUGAUUCAAUGUUUAACUAAGGACAAAAUACACUAGAAGGCUUUGCUGUCCAGAAUUGGACAGAUUCAGUCUUCAGACUUUAAACAUCCAUAACUUAGUCUUCAGAUCACCAAAAAGAGUGAUCCAAGACUUUUUGGAAAGCUUGGAAAAAGCACUACAUAACUUUUAUAAUCACCAAGAAUUGAUUCUAUGUUGAACUGAAUCAAACAAUUCAGAUUUUUGAAAUCUGUUCUGUCAGUGGAUAGAACACAGCAACCAAGUUGUAAAAUUCUUAACUCUUAAACCUUCAGGCCUUUAGUUAUGAAAUUUUAGCAAAAGCAAGAUAAGAAAAGCAUCUACAACUUUCUUAUAAUCUACAAGGACUGAUUCAAACAUUAACUUAAGCAAACAGUACAGUCUCUGAAAUCUGUACAGAAAUUGGACAGAUUCAGUUACUGAAUUUGUAAAAAGCAUAACUCCUAAACUGUCAGACCUAUGGCUGUCAAAUUUUAACACCAGCAAGAUAAUAAAUUUAUCUACCACUUUUCUAUAGCACAUAUCUACAGAAAACACAAUUUGGUUCAUCAAACAAACAACACAAAUAAAAUAGUGUGUGCAGUCCAAAACAACAACUAUAAAUUUUAGCUCCUAUUUACUUCAAGAAUUGUCAUGUUCUAGAGACUGAAAUUUCUCUAACACUUUACUAUUUAUUAGAGUUGAAACAAAUAAAAUAGGACCAACAAGUCACUUACAAAUUUUAUUCGAGUCAUUUCGUGCGCUAGAGUUAUUACCACACAAUUAACAAACACAUGCACCAAAAUAAAGUACUUCGGCACACAUGUCCGACAUCACACAAAAUUGUGAUGAAAUACUAAUAUUUAACUUUAGACCAUCAUGACAUAACCAAUUAAACUCUAAUUGGUAUUAAGGUGUAACUCAAGCAUUUCAUGAAACAUGCAUGAUUUUGUUUUCUCCUAAUUUUCACUAACUCGUGUAAUUAUAAAAGGGGUGUUAUUUUAGCACCAUAUGAAACUAUCUAAUUUGGGGCUAGAAUUUUUAUGAGGCAUAGUUAAUAACAAAUUAUGACUAAUGUAUAAAUUUUACAUGCCCAGGUUUUGUAUUUUAUUUACUACAAAAAUAACAAAUUUUUGAUGCAAUAAAGCAUAUGAGACAAGGUUAAAUCUAAAACUAAUUAUUUUCUGUGGAUGCAUGACCAUAUCAAGUUUUCUUAGGCUACUAUAAUAUCAUACAAGGACAGUGGAACAUCAUUUUCUAUUUUUACAUCCAUAUAUUUUUUAUAAAUCAUUUAAAACUACUUAAGGUGCAUUAAAUAAGUUAAACCACUAACUUAAUCAUACAUGCACAACAAUUCAUGAAAUUUUUACCAGUCACCAAGCAUCACAACAAGAGUCUACUGUAAAAAUUUGAAUCCAUUUGGAGCACUAGAGCUACAGAUCUAAAAAUAACAAGCAAAACAAUCAUCUUUUUCCUAUUUAACAUGUUUUAAUUAACACACCAAGAAAACAGUGAACAACCUAUAAGUUUUAUAUUUUUCUUAGAUGGAGUAUGACAACAUCUAAUUAACAAAACAAGUUUCAUCAUUUUUGGAUUUUUAUAAAUAAAACUAUGGAGAGAAGCAAGUUCAUUUAUUUUGUAAACCAGUUUUUAAAUACGAAUUUCUACAGAAACACUUUUCCACUAAACCAUACCAACAUAUAGAUCCAAUAGUUAGAGCAUUUCAUAAGGAAGCCAACAAAAAAAGUUUCACGAUUUUAGGAGCUCCAAAACUCGAGAUAUGAAUUUUUGAACACAACACAAAAAUCUGCAACUUGUGUACUCAAAUCUCGCCUUGGGCCCACCUGUCAUAGGCACUAGGCGUCUUCUUCAACCUUGACGUGAACAACAGGGAGGCUGCCAUGGCUGGAAUGGAGAUGCAGCUCAUAGGAGCUCUCUGGGCGCCAUGGGAGCCGAUCCCUGCUGCCGGAGGUGGAAGAAAGGGGCGCCAUGGGGAGGGAGCUCCCUGCUCAGCCGAACAGAGAAGGGAAGGGAGUGGUGUGUGGGAGAAGGGAGAGGGUGGGCUGCCAUUUAUAGAGCCAAGCUCUAGACAUGUCAGACUGCACCAGCAGGUGGCAGGUGCUGCAGUGACGACUUUGGACGACGUGUUUUGGCAUUUUCCGCUUGAAAUCGGAUCUUGGUUGCUGCACAAAAUAUCUUCCUUGAUCUAUACUCUACAUUUGUUGUAAAGGACUUGAGGUGAUUCGGGCACUGGUUAGAGAGUUAUAGACCCACGAAAAUUGGUUUGUCAGUGGGUUAGAAAACAGUGGAAACUCGUGAAAACUGAAUGUCAAAGCAUGUCAAACGAAAUCGGAUGAAUGCCAUCUUUUACUAUGUUGUGCCCCUAUUAGUUAUUAACAACUUUUGUAUUUGGGGAAACUUGAGUUGUUCAACAAAAAUUUGGGAACACGAGACGUCGACCCGAACGAUGCUGAUUUCAGACUUAGAAGAAUUCGAAUUCAGAAAUCAGAUUUUUAUUCUGUCUUGAUGUCACUGUUUGAGAUACUUAGAAAUUGAAUCAAGGCUUGGUUUAAAUAUAAAAUUUGUUGUAUUACACAGGUUCUACAAUGUUUAUUAAAAGUCAAACCUCAUAUCUUGAAUAUAAAUUAAAGUUUUACUUUGGUCAAGGUAGCAUCAUUAUAGAGCUUCAAAUUAUAUUUUUAAGGCAUUCGGGGUAUUUUCUUGGCAUUUUCUCUACAUGAACCCUUAAUAACUUUUGUUGUAGAGUUGAUAUAGAGUUGUUUGAGUAAGAUGGCAAGACUUGGUCGAAUUUCAAAAUUUACAUUUGUUCAAACGAGAAGUUUCAAGCAAGUAUAGGAUUUAUCUUUUCAUGUGAGUAUUUCGUUCAACCUUCUAGAAAUCUUUAGAAUACACUUGAUGGAUAGAGAUGAAUGAUGAUAUAUAGAAAACAAGUCGAGUUGCAUAAGAAUUAAUUAGAGGUUCACACAAAGAGAUCCUGCGGGAGAAUGCGGAUUCAGAUUAAGUAUUUGGACGUAGACCGACUAUCGAGACAACAGAUUCGGACAUAGAUCGGAUAAUAUCACAACUGUCAAGAGUCCGAAUAAAUGAGUCUGGACAGGAGUUACGGGACGAUAUUGACUUUCGAAUUUGCAUUUGCUCCGAGAAAUAAAAGUUUUAACAGGCUCCAAAUUUGGCUGUUCUCGAGAUAGAAUAAUUCCAAAUUUGGUGAAACAUUCAUGAGUAACUUGAUAAAUGGAGAUAAAUGUGAUAAAGAGAUAGAAAUUUUCACUGAGCAUCCGAGAUUAGGAUAAAUAUCCCGACAAAACGCGAAAUAGACACCUGGGGUGUCACAGCCUUCCCCCCUAAAAAAAGAAUCUCGUCCCGAGAUUCAGAUGAGGGUCUUCAAGGGUGGAGAAGCAUGUAACGCCCAGGCUGAAGAUAGAUGCAAAUUCGUGAAAGGGUAUCUGACAAGAUACUGAAGAUAGAUUUGGAUAGAAUAUCGCGGCAUGUUGAGACCAAAUGCAGCGAUCACUUUGAGAGAAUAUCCACAAAAGAUAGCACAUCAGUAUAGUUUCGUAAUGGACCACGACUAUUAACCACGAUACCAGCGCGUGCCGAGCAGCUCAACCAUGUGUGCGCGCCCACAGGAGGCUCUCGGUUUCGUCGCGGCACCAUCAGUUGUUAGCCAUAAUACCAUUACCAAACGCAACCAAUGAGAAAUCCACAUAGCACAGAUAGAUGGAGCCCAUGAGAGUAUGGCUCAGAAAAUAAGAAUGUGACCGGAGUUGAAGCAGAGACUGCUGACAAAAGAGCAUCACAUGAGAAUUUUCUUUAACCCAGAGAACCAUUUGAUGAUCAACAUGGAGAUUAUCAGAUCAGAUAUUAGCACGAGAUUUGAUAUGAGGACGAACCAACCAUGAGAUCAAGAUUGAAGAGCUUGUAGAGAUAUGAGAGAACUAAAGACAAGAAUCAAAUCCAUUGAACCAAAUGGAUAUGCCAUUUAGAGAUAAGUUGAUAAAACAAGCAUCAUGAUCCUUAGAGGAAGAGUAUGAGAAUGAUCAGAAAUGAGAGAUUUAGGCAAGAUCAACACCCGAUACAUGAGAACAGGUUAUAGCAGAUAACCAGAUAACGGGGCAGAGUCAAUAAGGGAUCUGAAGAUUCGGAUGAUAAGGCCACAACAUGAUUCACCAGGAAAAUGAUUACCGGAUCCAGGCAAAAGGAGAGGUAGGCAAACAGGGUCAGCUAGGACGAUCGACAGAAAUGCUAUGAGGUUUUAGGGGCAAGGAUUUAUGGAAAGAAACAUGGCCUUGAUAGGGUUUGCGCAACUAGACACCAACAAUUUUUUUUUGACACAACAAGUGCACAAGGAAAUUUCAGUUUGGCUAGCGGUUAAGCUAUGGGGGUCUACAAGUUGUGCAGGUUUAACUUCAAAGGUAAAACACUCAAGGGGGCUAGAAAAUACCAACACAAGUAGGAUUUGUUUUUUAAGGAGGUUCCACUUGCUAAACUCAAGGUUGUUUGGAAAGGGGGUCUUUUUAUGGGCAAAACAAGCAACAAAUUUUUUUUUGCAAAAAAGGUUGAACAAUUACAAUGCUACCUAGAUGGCAAGGCAAGAGAAACACAUAACACAACCUAACAAGACAUACCCAUCUGACACGAGGUAAGGCAUUUCUAACAUAGCAGUACAUCACAUUAUUCACAAUUUCUUAUUAUUGGAGUAAAGGUGAGAAAAGCAUGUUGAUGCACAAGAAACAAUUAUGCGACAAUCAUGAUGCAUGCUCAUUCUAGUCGUCUUCUCAGACCUAACUAAUUAUUCGGAUGCUUCUAUAACAUCCUUAUUAAUAGUAGUAGUAGCCUUUAUGGCCUAUAUAAAUAGCCACCUAGCUACCCAUCUAUUUCCUAAGGCUUCACGUCCUAGGUCUAUCCUUAUCGUCCUGACGAUCUAUCUAAUAUUGGUUUCUAAGCAAGUUUUACUUUAGAAAAGUUGGUAUUCAUGACUUAUUGAUUCCUCUGUGGUGUUAUUCGCUCCGAUACCAGCUGUGGCGGAACCGCCCGAAUUAUUCCAGCUUAAGUGCCCAAGUCGCACCCUUAAGGGCAGCAACACACUUAAACAGGAAUAACACGUCAGUCCCUCGGAUCUAGUCCGAUAAAGCCACUUACCAGGAUCGAAUACCACUAGCUCACUCGAAGGUGAGGCACAGAGAAAUACAAUAAAACAUAAUACCACAAAUUUAAUAAGUAUAAUCAGUGAUUACAUUAUCGGAGUUUCAGAAAUAAUAACCAUAAAUUUUAAUGCAGCGGAAAUAACUAACGGAGAAAACCGAGUAACAUGGCGAAGCCUGGCCACGCUACUCCUCCUGGUCCUCUCCUGCGGAAGCAGUAACCCACUCGACCAUCUAUCCCGGUGGCAGGGAUGGAGGCCAAGACACACCAUCAACCAAUCAACCUAAGAAGUACCUGCAAAAAUUAUGCCACAAGCAAGGCUGAGUAUACUAAUACUCAGCUAGACUUACCCGGUGUGAGGAGUCUACUCCUCUACCUCUAGACAUGCAGCUGUUUAGCUGAGGGGUUUGGUUUGCCAAAAGCGCUAGCUGAGUCUAAAAUCAAGUUUUAGCUUUUCAAGUUUUAGUAAGAUCCUUUUUAAACUAGAUGAGUACCUAGCUACUCAUACAUGGUAUCAAACAUUUUUAACAAUCAACAUGUUUUGCCAAGUCAACACAUUUCCACUUGUUACUCAAUGUAGCAGCAUGGAUCAAGCAGUCUCAUUAGCUGCGAGAAGCAGACGAUUCGAAUCGAGUUUUUAUCCUUGCAAGGUAAACCUAAACACACGACGUGUAGGGGCACUCCGUCCCCACACACAUCAACCGUCCCCAUCGAUUCCCCGUCAGCAGAUCAGGGCUCACCGCCUUGGCGUACAAUGCCUCACUGACCCCGACUGCCGUCGUGCAGUGACCGCACUUGUACCCACCAUAACCGGAAUGGGAGACCACGUCUCAGGUCGCGUGAGGGGAUAUAUCCACUGCCAGGUUCACUCAGGUACUAGGCUUACCGAUUUACCAUAUUUCUCGGCAUAUGUUUAGUACGUUCAAACGCUUGACUCACGGUACCACACCUUAAUCCUUAUUCCAAUUUCCGUCUCGUAGACAACGCAUCCCCAUGGACCGUUGUCCACAGACCACCAUCAUUAUGAUAUCAAAAUGGAUACAACCAAUUCCUGACCUCGCGCGAGUGCUAGAAAAAUCACUCGACUUCUACCGAGAUCCCUAAUUAAUAAAGCAGCUACUCGACUUAGCAUACUAGUAUCCAUCUCAAAGGGAAUCCUGAGUUCAUGCAACUAAGGUUCCAAACAACUCCUACACUUAAGUGCACAGUACAAGCCUACAAACAUUAAGUGCAGUAAAAUAGUAUAUAUAAACGGUUAUGCAUAAAACCGGGGCUUGCCUUUAAUUUAACACUUAGAUUGUGUUUGCUGGGGUGGCACUCGCUUGGCGAGCAUCCACUAGUCAAGUCCAUCAUUCUUCAGGUCGUCCACCAACUGCAUCUUGUGGUUGGCACCACAUCACUUGCACGAUCGUCAUCUCUCGGUCCUAAAUGAGAUGCAAGAUGCAUAUGUAUGAAUAUACUGAAAGUAGCACAAAAGUAGCACAAGAUAUACAAAGACACAGUGGCGAACUAAACAUUAAUUUGGAAGACACCGUAGACAACCAUACGCUAGCAUUCGUUAUCUACACGUUAUCGGCGUCCAACAUUAACACCUUUAAAAAGACAACACCAUUUUAUUUAUUUACGCACACAACUACGACAUCACAAGUAACCACAUUUACCACGUUCACUUUACUCAUCCAUUAGUUACUUAAUCAUCAAGUUAGUUAAGUACCUAAGUUUGCUACGACUGAUAUGUAGAUAGACUUAGUUGAAAAGGAAUUAGACACUUAAUUUGUGCUUUACAAUUAUUUACUAGGCAAACACUUAUUAGACCUUAACCAAUUUAGUUUACUAAUUUAGCGAGACGUGUACUAAUUACCUAUAUACUUAGGCUCAAUUAUGUUAGUUAUAUUAUCAUUACUGUGUGUUCAACCAAAACCAAAACGAGAAAACAGUCGACUCAAGAAAUACACCACAAAGUAGAGCAAUCCACCAAACAUAACAAAAUUAGGACAGCAGCACAGUAGCUACUUGUUUCAUUCAUAACUCUUCAAAUAUUAAUCCAAACAUAGCAAACUAGGACUUUCUGGAAAGCUUAAAAUGUGCUCUACAACUUUGGUAUUUUCACCUAAACAAGAAUCAACACUUAGCAAGGUUAAAAGUGCUAACACAAUAGAUCUGUCCAGAUUUGGACAGAUUCAGACUUGCAACUUCAAAAAUUCACAACCACAGAUUCAGACAUCCAAACAAAGUGAUCCUAGACUUUCUGGAAAGCUAAUUAAAUUUUCUACAUAUCAUUUAUAAACAUCUCAAGGUGAUUCAAUGUUUAACUAAGGACAAAAUACACUAGAAGGCUUUGCUGUCCAGAAUUGGACAGAUUCAGUCUUCAGACUUUAAACAUCCAUAACUUAGUCUUCAGAUCACCAAAAAGAGUGAUCCAAGACUUUUUGGAAAGCUUGGAAAAAGCACUACAUAACUUUUAUAAUCACCAAGAAUUGAUUCUAUGUUGAACUGAAUCAAACAAUUCAGAUUUUUGAAAUCUGUUCUGUCAGUGGAUAGAACACAGCAACCAAGUUGUAAAAUUCUUAACUCUUAAACCUUCAGGCCUUUAGUUAUGAAAUUUUAGCAAAAGCAAGAUAAGAAAAGCAUCUACAACUUUCUUAUAAUCUACAAGGACUGAUUCAAACAUUAACUUAAGCAAACAGUACAGUCUCUGAAAUCUGUACAGAAAUUGGACAGAUUCAGUUACUGAAUUUGUAAAAAGCAUAACUCCUAAACUGUCAGACCUAUGGCUAUCAAAUUUUAACACCAGCAAGAUAAUAAAUUUAUCUACCACUUUUCUAUAGCACAUAUCUACAGAAAACACAAUUUGGUUCAUCAAACAAACAACACAAAUAAAAUAGUGUGUGCAGUCCAAAACAACAACUAUAAAUUUUAGCUCCUAUUUACUUCAAGAAUUGUCAUGUUCUAGAGACUGAAAUUUCUCUAACACUUUACUAUUUAUUAGAGUUGAAACAAAUAAAAUAGGACCAACAAGUCACUUACAAAUUUUAUUCGAGUCAUUUCGUGCGCUAGAGUUAUUACCACACAAUUAACAAACACAUGCACCAAAAUAAAGUACUUCGGCACACAUGUCCGACAUCACACAAAAUUGUGAUGAAAUACUAAUAUUUAACUUUAGACCAUCAUGACAUAACCAUUUAAACUCUAAUUGGUAUUAAGGUGUAACUCAAGCAUUUCAUGAAACAUGCAUGAUUUUGUUUUCUCCUAAUUUUCACUAACUCGUGUAAUUAUAAAAGGGGUGUUAUUUUAGCACCAUAUGAAACUAUCUAAUUUGGGGCUAGAAUUUUUAUGAGGCAUAGUUAAUAACAAAUUAUGACUAAUGUAUAAAUUUUACAUGCCCAGGUUUUAUAUUUUAUUUACUACAAAAAUAACAAAUUUUUGAUGCAAUAAAGCAUAUGAGACAAGGUUAAAUCUAAAACUAAUUAUUUUCUGUGGAUGCAUGACCAUAUCAAGUUUUCUUAGGCUACUAUAAUAUCAUACAAGGACAGUGGAACAUCAUUUUCCAUUUUUACAUCCAUAUAUUUUUUAUAAAUCAUUUAAAACUACUUAAGGUGCAUUAAAUAAGUUAAAACACUAACUUAAUCAUACAUGCACAACAAUUCAUGAAAUUUUUACCAGUCACCAAGCAUCACAACAAGAGUCUACUGUAAAAAUUUGAAUCCAUUUGGAGCACUAGAGCUACAGAUCUAAAAAUAACAAGCAAAACAAUCAUCUUUUUCCUAUUUAACAUGUUUUAAUUAACACACCAAGAAAACAGUGAACAACCUAUAAGUUUUAUAUUUUUCUUAGAUGGAGUAUGACAACAUCUAACUAACAAAUCAAGUUUCAUCAUUUUUGGAUUUUUAUAAAUAAAACUAUGGAGAGAAGCAAGUUCAUUUAUUUUGUAAACCAGUUUUUAAAUACGAAUUUCUACAGAAACACUUUUCCACUAAACCAUACCAACAUAUAGAUCCAAUAGUUAGAGCAUUUCAUAAGGAAGCCAACAAAAAAAGUUUCACGAUUUUAGGAGCUCCAAAACUCGAGAUAUGAAUUUUUGAACACAACACAAAAAUCUGCAACUUGUGUACUCAAAUCUCGCCUUGGGCCCACCUGUCAUAGGCACUAGGCGUCUUCUUCAACCUUGACGUGAACAACAGGGAGGCUGCCAUGGCUGGAAUGGAGAUGCAGCUCAUAGGAGCUCUCUGGGCGCCAUGGGAGCCGAUCCCUGCUGCCGGAGGUGGAAGAAAGGGGCGCCAUGGGGAGGGAGCUCCCUGCUCAGCCGAACAGAGAAGGGAAGGGAGUGGUGUGUGGGAGAAGGGAGAGGGUGGGCUGCCAUUUAUAGAGCCAAGCUCUAGACAUGUCAGACUGCACCAGCAGGUGGCAGGUGCUGCAGUGACGACUUUGGACGACGUGUUUUGGCAUUUUCCGCUUGGAAUCGGAUCUUGGUUGCUGCACAAAAUAUCUUCCUUGAUCUAUACUCUACAUUUGUUGUAAAGGACUUGAGGUGAUUCGGGCACUGGUUAGAGAGUUAUAGACCCACGAAAAUUGGUUUGUCAGUGGGUUAGAAAACAGUGGAAACUCGUGAAAACUGAAUGUCAAAGCAUGUCAAACGAAAUCGGAUGAAUGCCAUCUUUUACUAUGUUGUGCCCCUAUUAGUUAUUAACAACUUUUGUAUUUGGGGAAACUUGAGUUGUUCAACAAAAAUUUGGGAACACGAGACGUCGACCCGAACGAUGCUGAUUUCAGACUUAGAAGAAUUCGAAUUCAGAAAUCAGAUUUUUAUUCUGUCUUGAUGUCACUGUUUGAGAUACUUAGAAAUUGAAUCAAGGCUUGGUUUAAAUAUAAAAUUUGUUGUAUUACACAGGUUCUACAAUGUUUAUUAAAAGUCAAACCUCAUAUCUUGAAUAUAAAUUAAAGUUUUACUUUGGUCAAGGUAGCAUCAUUAUAGAGCUUCAAAUUAUAUUUUUAAGGCAUUCGGGGUAUUUUCUUGGCAUUUUCUCUACAUGAACCCUUAAUAACUUUUGUUGUAGAGUUGAUAUAGAGUUGUUUGAGUAAGAUGGCAAGACUUGGUCGAAUUUCAAAAUUUACAUUUGUUCAAACGAGAAGUUUCAAGCAAGUAUAGGAUUUAUCUUUUCAUGUGAGUAUUUCGUUCAACCUUCUAGAAAUCUUUAGAAUACACUUGAUGGAUAGAGAUGAAUGAUGAUAUAUAGAAAACAAGUCGAGUUGCAUAAGAAUUAAUUAGAGGUUCACACAAAGAGAUCCUGCGGGAGAAUGCGGAUUCAGAUUAAGUAUUUGGACGUAGACCGACUAUCGAGACAGCGGAUUCGGACAUAGAUCGGAUAAUAUCACAACUGUCAAGAGUCCGAAUAAAUGAGUCUGGACAGGAGUUACGGGACGAUAUUGACUUUCGAAUUUGCAUUUGCUCCGAGAAAUAAAAGUUUUAACAGGCUCCAAAUUUGGCUGUUCUCGAGAUAGAAUAAUUCCAAAUUUGGUGAAACAUUCAUGAGUAACUUGAUAAAUGGAGAUAAAUGUGAUAAAGAGAUAGAAAUUUUCACUGAGCAUCCGAGAUUAGGAUAAAUAUCCCGACAAAACGCGAAAUAGACACCUGGGGUGUCACACAAACGCUCUGAAGCUAACGACGCUCGCGGCCGACCAGCCCCGCGUUGUCGAAGUCCGCCCCUUCCGCUAGACCAGUGAGCACCCUCUCCCCUGAAUGCUGAAGGAGAGGGUGACCCACGAACCCGUGCGGGAGGUAGAGCUCCGGCUCAGCCCGCCCUCCGCCCCAGCAAGGAUGAUGAAGAUCCUUGAAGCUGAGGGCGGGGUAGAGGCCGCAGCCCGGCUCGCUUCUCCCCACCAUCAAACUGGUGGUCACCGCCUUGGGUGACCACCGGCGAGGGGAUGCAGCCGGGCUGCCUGAUGAAAAUCCUUGAAGCCGAACGAUGGGUGAAAGGUACCAACUUCCGCGAAGUUGCGUUCCUCCAACGACGACAAGACGAAAGCAACGCAAGCGCUCCCCAUCCGGGGCUCGGAAGGUGGAAGGGCGUGAUGCAUGAGGAGAGUGCGAAGACAUGGUUGCCAUCCAAGGGGGUCACCCUCCUUUUAAAGGCGACUCCCCCCACUUGCGUCCUCAGCCGGCACGGACUGAGUCUUCUCCAACACGCUCCAAGGUCCUCCCCCUACGACACGGGGGCUGGGUCCCACGCGUCAUGCAAGCUGGCCCAGGACAGAAGAAGCCGAACCGCCACGCGCGGAGCGCACAACAGCCCAGCGAUUACAAGCAUUCCUCCACUAUCGCCCGGACCAGCGGGUGAAAGGGCAGACCGCCAUGCAGGCGGCAUGCAACCGCACCAAGGGGGCGCACCCUUUCGACUUCGACGCGUCCAGCAUGGAGGCCCAGGCCCACACGUCAUGUAACCGGCGCGCCGGUUACUACGUGCGAGAAACCGCACCGCUACUCACGCCAGUACCGCGCCUCCUCGACUACGGAACCGGUGCCGCGACUUGAGGCGACCCUGCGCAUGACCCGACAGUGCCAAUCGAGCACAUCGGUCACGGGUCAGUCAGCCGCGGGAGAAGGCGCGACGGUCGAUACGGCCAGAAAUGGGCCAGCAGUAAUGGCGGUGGCAGGCGGGCGGAAGCAACAGUCAAGUCGUCAGCAAGCUCACGCCCCCUCUUGGGAGAGCGAGAGAACCCUCUCCCACGGCGUGAAGACGACGCGCCCGUGUUCCGUUCCUCGAACGGCUCGCGCACGCACAACGGCUGCCCCGCGAACCACUCGUCCCGUCGCAUUAACUCUGCGGCAGGACAGACGGCACCUUUGGCAGGCGAAGCAGGCGACGCUUCACCUCCGCCAUAAUGACCGCGUCAAAAAAUGUGUGCCACGUCAUUCGAUUUCGUAUCCUUUUCCACUUCCUCUUUCUCUCUCUUGCUACAGGGACCGGGAAAGGGGAUAUUCUGAAAGGGAUCCUUCUCCGCGAAGGAAGCGGGCCCCGAGCCCCCCUACUGAUCAGAGGUUCGAAGGCUGGCCCCUCGGAAGGGUUCAACAGCCGCCUCAGAGCACUCGGGCUCCGCGCCCACUACUGGUUAGAGGUUCGAAGGCUGGCCCCUUGGAAGGGUUCAACGACCAUCUCAGGCCACUCGAGCUCCGCGCCCACUACUGAUCAGGGGUUCGUAGGCUGGCCCCCGAAGGGUUCGACAGCCGCCUCAGAGCAUGCAGAGCGAGGGAUGACCUUGGGUACGAUACAUAACCAAGGCUCGGGCUACGCUCCCGAGGUACCCUAGGACAUUUCCGAGACCAACGGGAAUGAUUUGUAACGGAAUCCCACCAGAGGGAGGCAUCGAGCCCUUGAACCCCGUCAAAAGGGGACCGGGUCCGGCGAAUCACCCGUAGUUACUUUUGGAGCGCGCCUCCGGGCCACUAGCCGACCCCUAACGAAUGGGGCACGGGCGUCCACUCAGAUUAUCCGUUAGCAACUCACUGGAGACACCAUGUUCGGCGCCCUCCGAGAGCAACAUGGUGCUUCCCCCCCUCCUUGCGGAAAGGCGAUGCAGGGGCGUAUGAAAAAAGCCGAGUCUGUCCUUGACCGUCCUCUCGCUCCACGCGGAGGCUCGGGGGCUGCUCUCGCAAACCCGGCUCCGGCCAAACCGUUGACAGCGUCAACAUACCAGCCCGAGAACUUGGACUCGACUAUCCACCCGGGCUACGACCAGUUCGCAUGAGGGAACAACCAGACCGACCGAAGCAUCACAAAACGCGCUAAGACCUCGAAGGAGUCAAACCACUCCUCCGAGGCCUCGGGGGCUACACCCGGCGGGUGCGCUUGCGCGCACCCACCGGAACGAAACGCAACCGAGAAAGGCCGGUCCCCUUGCAAAAAAGUGUGACAAAAGCCUCCAAGCGAGUAUCAACACUCCCUUCGAGGCUCGGGGGCUACUGUCGGGGACCAUAAUUAGGGGUACCCCCAAGACUCCUAAUCUCAGCUGGUAACCUCCAUCAGCACAAAGCUGCAAAGGCCUGAUGGGCGCGAUUAAGGUCAAGGCUCAGUCCACUCAAGGGACACGAUCUCGCCUCGCCCGAGCCCAGCCUCGGGCAAAGGCAGCCGACCCCGGAGGAUUCACGUCUCGCCCGAGGGCCCCCUCAAGCAACGGACACACCUUUGGCUCGCCCGAGGCCCAGUCUUCGCAGAGAAGCAACCUUGGCCAGAUCGCCACGCCAACCGACCGUAUCGCAGGAGCAUUUAAUGCAAGGAUCGCUUGACACCUUAUCCUGACGCGCGCCCUUCAGUCGAUAGAGCCGAAGUGACCGCAGUCACUUCGCCGCUCCACUGACCGACCUGACAAGAAAACAGCGCCGCCUGCGUCGCUUCGACUGCUGUGCCACUCGAUAGAGGGAGGCUGACAGCAGUUAAGUCUAGCCUCGGGCGCCAUAGGAAGCUCCGCCUCGCCUGACCCCAGGGCUCGGGCUCAACCUCGACGCUGGACGACAGACUCCGCCUCGCCCGACCCCAGGGCUCAGACACAACCUCGGCCUCGGAAGACGGUCUCCGCCUCGCCCGACCCAGGGCUCGGGCUCAACCUUGACGCUGGACGACGGACUCCGCCUCGCCCAACCCCAGGGCUCGGACACAGCCUCGACCUCGGAAGACGGUCUCCGCCUCGCCCGAUCCAGGGCUCGGACUCAACCUCGACCUCGGAAGAUGGACUCCGCCUCGCCCGACCCCAGGGCUCGGACUCAGCCUCGACCUCGGAAGACGGACUCGACCUCGACCUCGGAGGAGCCUCCGCCUCGCUCGACCUAGGGCUCGGACCGACCACGUCACAGGGGGCCAUCAUUACCCUACCCCUAGCUAGCUCAGGCUACAAGGAACAAGACCGACGUCCCAUCUGGCUCGCCCCGGUAGACAAAUAAUGAUGGCGCCCCGCGUGCUCCAUGACGACGGCGGCUCUCAGCCCAUUACGGAAGCAAGGAGACGUCAGCAAGGAUUCGACAGCCCCGACAGCUGUCCUUCCACAGGGCCCAAGCGCUCCUCCGACGGCCACGACAUCACAUGAACAGGGUGCCAAAACCUCUCCGACUGCCACGACGACAUGUACUUAGGGCUCUAGCUCCUCUCUGCGAGACAUGUUAGCACACUGCUACACCCCCCCAUUGUACACCUGGACCCUCUCCUUACGCCUAUAAAAGGAAGGUCCAGGGCUCUCGUACGAGAAGGUUGGCCACGCGGGAGAACGGGCCGACGCAUAAGGCUCUCGCUCUCUCUCGCUCUCUCCCACGCGAACGCUUGUAACCCCCUACUGCAAGCGCAUCCAUCCGCCCUGGGCGCAGGACAACACGAAGGUCGUGGGUUCCCCUUACUAUUCUCCCCCCUUUUGUGUCCCGUCUCGCGCUGACCCAUCUGGGCUGGGACACGCAGCGACAAUUUACUCGUCGGUCCAGGGACCCCCCGGGGUCAAAACGCCGACACAAAUCAACCAAGAAAUAAAGCGAGUGAACACGGUGAUUUGUUUUACCUAGGUUCAGUUCCAAAGAACCUAGUCCCCGUAGAGGAGGUCACAAAGACCGGGUCUAUUUCAACCCUUUCCCUUUCUCAAAUGGUCACCUAUACCGAGUGAGCCUUCUUCCUUAAUCUCACGGGUCACUAAGACCCCGCAAGGACCACCACACUCUUGGUGUCUCUUGCCUCUCUUACAAAGCACUUGAGAGUAAGAGAAAGAAAAGAAAGACCAAGCCAAGCAACAAGAGCAACAAAGAACACAAGAAAACCCUCUCUCAAGUCCCUAAUGGAAUUGAUUUGAUUUGGAGACUUUGGAGAGGAUCCAAUCUAUUUGAUGUGUCUUGGAGUGGAGUCUUUUGCUCUUGUAUUGAAUGCAAUGUUUGGAAUGCUUGGAUGGUUAUGAAUGAGAUGGUUGGGGGUAUUUAUAUCCCCCAACCACUUCCAUAGCCGUUGGGGAAGCUGCUGUCGAUGGGCGCGCCGGACAGUCCGGUGCGCCACCGGACGCUCACUGUUUAGUGUCCGGUGCGCCACCACGUCACCCAACCGUUAGGGUUCGGAGCGAAGUCGACUGUUGGAGCUUUGUCCUCUUGCGGUACCAGACAGUCCGGUGCCAGCCCGGUGCCCUCUGACUUCGCGGCUCUGACUUCUGCUGCGCACUGUGCUGCGCUAUUCACGCUGUCAGAGUCAACCGUUGCGCGCUGGAUAGCCAUAUGUUUGUGUUGGACAUUCAACCACCAAAAUUAAUUGUAGAAAAAGGUUAACCCUAUUUCCCUUUCAAUCUCCCCCUUUUUGGUGAUUGAUGCCAACACAAACCAAAGCAAAUAUAUAAAGUGCAGAAAUGAACUAGUUUGCAUAUGGUAAGUGCAUAGGUUACUUGGAGUUAAACCAAUUGAAUAUCUCACUAAAUUUGAAUGGCUUGCUUUUCUUUUAUUUAACGUUUUGGACCACAUUUGCACCACUUAUUUUGUUUUUGCAAAUCCUUUUGAAAAAUCUUUUCAAAGUCUUUUGCAAAUAGUCAAAGGUAUAUGAAUAAGAUUGCAAGAAGCAUUUUCAAGAUUUGAAAUUUCACCCCUUGUUUCAAAUGAUUUUCCUUUGACUAAAUAAAACUCCCCUAGAAUGAAAUUCUCCUCUUAGCUUUCAAGAUGUUUUUUGAAAUAGAUACCAAUUUGAAGAUUGAUCUUUAAAUAUACCAAUUUAAGGAUUAAUUGUAAAUUAAAUAUAAUUGAGAAAUUUCCAUCACGUUGAUACUAGUGUGAAAAAUAUUUCGAAUUUAAGGAUUAAUUGUAAAUUAAAACUUCAUUUUGAUUUUUUUUUUUAAAUUGGUGGUGCGGUCCUUUUGCUUUGGGUUUAAUAUUUUCUCCCCCUUUAGCAUUAAUCGCUAAAAACGGAGACAUUGAGAGCCCUUAUAAUACUUUCUUCCCAUUGUGUAACGCCCCGGUCUAAACAACCGAAGCUAAACAUGUAUUUAAGCACCAGAAAAUAGUCUCUGGUGAAAUACAUUACACAAGUGGUGCCACAGUCAUACAUAACUUUAUUUAGUACAUUCGGUUACAAUAAUAACACCAACUAGAAGAACUAUAGUCGAUAAGAUAAACACGAUGGUGGUAUCUUCUUCCCACAUGGUGGCUUCUACCGCAACGGCACCACGCCAAACUUGGGUAUAGGACACGAACUACUCAAAAUUCCUCAGGCACGAAAUUAGGAUCCUCUGUAAAAAUAACGGGUGAGCACAAAGGUACUCAGCAAAUCCAACCUCGCCCUUACAGGG